rnacentral:lncRNA from 1 species
UUUUUUUUUUUGUCCAUUUAGGUUUUUUAGACUGUUUUUUAUCGGUUUCUCUCUUUUUCUUUUUUUGUUUCUUUUCUUUAUUCUUCUUAUUACCUUUUUCAUUUUCGUUUUAUUCUUAUAUAAUUUUUUUUUUUUCAAAAAAGUGCAACUUUGUUUUGAUUAGUUUCUUUUUCAAAUUCGUGAACUAAUUUUCAAAAUCCAUGAACUUUUUUUAUUAUCGGUGAAAUUUUUUCAAAUUUUUACGAUUUUUUUUUAAAUUUGAUGAACUUUUUUUUGAAUGGAUGAACUUUUUCCAAAAAUGAUGAACUUUGUUCAGAUAUGUGAACUUUUUUUCUAAAUUAGUGAACUAUUUUCAAAGUAGAUGAAAUAUUUUUCAAUUUUUCUAAUCUAUUUUUAAUAAUCCAAUGACCUUUUUUCAAUUUCGAUGAACUUUUUUCAAGUUUGAUAAAUUGGAAGCAAAUUGAUGAACUGUUUUCAAAUCCAAUGAUUUUGUUUUUUAUUUUGUAAACUUUUUUCAAAUAUGAUGAACUUUUUCAAAAUUUCAUUGAAUAUGAAAAACAAUCAAACACCCGAAAUAGUCGAACGAACGAAAUAGUCAAACGUCUGAAACAGUUAAAGGAACGGAGCUGUCUAAUGGGCCCUGAAGAAAACAACCCAUAAAGGUUCUCUGCACGCGCCACUUCCCCUAACAGGUGCAGAAGGAGCCGAUUAGGAGCUCCCCGCGCAACAUGCUCGUCGCUCAUGAGUUUUCUUUAUCUUUAUCUUUUUCUUUGUUGAACAUUCGCCGCCCACGAGUUGGCUGGGUAUUUUCUUAGGAGGUAAAUACGGCAACGACGAUCCAUGCAUUGCAACAGAAGAAAAAAAAACAUAAUCUUCAAUGAUGAUGAUCACAUUAUGUUCACACAUCAUCGCUUGAUUUUGAAAUUUUGUGCACAAAUGCAAGAAAAUGUUUCUUCUUUUAAAUUUAUUAAUAAGUUGAAGUAAUCUUUACAUUUUCAAAAAAAAAAUCAUGAUUGUCAAAAAUCUUGGUAACUCAAAGAAUUAUUCUUAAUUUCAAGAAUUUUUUUUAGAAAACAUACAAUAAUAAUCCGAUCCAUCCAACAAUUAAUUCUUCAAAAAUCACACGGGUAUAUUUUUACAAAGACUUAGAAACAUUAAUGUUUAACAACAUACAUUAGAUCUUUCAUGAACAAUUUUACAAAUAUGAGAACAAUUUUAAAAUCGAGAACAUUUUUUACUAUGUACAAACAUUUACUAAAAAUCAUGAAUAUUUUUUAUAUUUCAAACGGGUUUAAAUAUUUUCUUUUGAAUUGGCGACCAAUUCUAGAAAAGACGAACAUAAUUUUUUAUGUUGGAGGAUUUUACUUUAAAUUCACAAACAUUUUUUAAAUACAUGAAGUUUUUCUGAAUAAACAAACAUUCUUAUAAGUCAGUAAUAUAUUUAUUAAAUUCACGGACAUUGUUUUGGAAUUUGCAAAAAAAAUAUAAAAAUCCGGCGUCUUUUUUGAAUCCACAAACAUUUUAUGUUUUCGUCAACAUUUUAAUUCAAAAUUCGUAUUUUUUUAAUAUGCAAAUGCUUUUAUAAUUCUAAAUUAUUUAAAUUAGAAGUAAACAAAAAUGGAACGAAAAAAUUUGAAUAAAAAAAGAAACUAUCAAAACAGGCAUUAACUAUUUUUUGAAAAUUUUAGGACGUUUUUUAAAUGCAUUAACAUAUGUUGAAUUAGAAAGCAUUUUGUUAAAUACUUUUAGUAAUUUUUAAUACAUGGAGUUUGAUUUGAAAUUAUGGACUUUUCUUAUUUUACAAACAUUUUUUCAAACUUGCAAACAUUUUAUUGUAUAUGCGAGCAUUUUUUACGAAAACUCUGAGCAGUUUUUGAAGUCACAAACAUUUUAUUUUUUGAAUAUGUUGAUUUAAAGUUGUAAUUUUGUUAAAAGUUUCAAGGUUAUUUGAAUUUCUCAAUUAUUUAAAAUAGAAAAAUAAAAUGGAACAGAAGAUAAAUAAAUAAACGGAAAUAAAAAAACUGGUGCCUGUGCAUGGGCCGGCCCAUACGGUGUGGGCAAUUCCCAUGACGUACCAUAGAAGCAAUAGGUGCUUUAUUAAUAGGUAAAGAAAUACGGCACGACUCUUAUAACUUGUUCGCUUACAACAUCUUCAACAAACGGGUUGAAUAAAUCACGUGUUUGGGAAAAAAUAGUUUUUUAGCACGUGCAACUGAAUCGAUGGCUUCACCAGACACGUUAAAAUAACGCGCACGCCAAAAACUAUUCCGCGCGCCGAACAAAAUCCUUUUGUGCGCUGUAUUUUUCCGGCAUCCGCUACCGUGUGCUGAACAAAGACUCUAUGACGCUCCGGUAGAUAAGCUACAUUAAUCACAGCCUAAUGGUGUCAUGUCAUCAAGACUGAUUAAGCCAAAAUGCCAUUAAUAAAAAUCAAAGGCAAAUUAAAAAUUGCAAGUUAAAAAUUCAAUAUUCAAAUAAAAAGUGAAAUAAGAAGUUCACAAACCGGAAAACUAAAUUCAUGGUUAGAUUACAAAUAUCCCUUAAGUAUUUGUAAAAUAUAAAGCAAUAUUUUUACAAGUAAUUAAAAGCUCAAAAACAAUUAAAACAGAGGUCAAAAGAAUAGAUAAGAGGCCUUUUGACUUAUUAAAAUAUCCAAACCUAUUUCAAUUGUCCCCAAACUUUUUGUAGCCUUGUCAAAUAUCACAUCAUUAAUAUUUGAUCAAGUGGAUCAUUUUUACAAGGGUCUUUGGUGCUUUAAAAUAUUAUAACAAUAUAUAAAAAAACUGUAGCGGAAUCAUUUCUUUAAAGGAAAAGGGCUACCCCGUGGACUUUGGCCCUUCUGACCGGCCGAGGUGGCCCAGCCUGGCCUCCCCAACCGCCGGCCCGACCGGGGGUAUUGUUGGGGAAUGUUGCAUGUGAAACAAAAAAAUUCGUACGCACAUGAAGACCUAUCAUGGUGAUGUCCAUCUACGUACCCUUGUANNNNNNNNNNNNNNNNNNNNNNNNNNNNNNNNNNNNNNNNNNNNNNNNNNNNNNNNNNNNNNNNNNNNNNNNNNNNNNNNNNNNNNNNNNNNNNNNNNNNCGGCGGCCGGAGCGCGGGGGGCGGCGGCUGGAGCGCGGAGGGCGGCGGGCUGGCGGCGGCCGCUGCGGAUUCCUCCCGCGCGCGGGAACCAACUUCCUCCCGCACGAUGUGGGAAAAUGAGUGCGGGUUGGGGGCAGUUCCCCCCCCCCAACCCUCACUUCUACAGGCUGGGAAGGGGUUUGAGGGUUCGACCUCUAAAUUUUUUUACGGGUUUAAGGGUUUAAGGGUUCUAGUCUACGCCGUUUUUCCGAUGAAAACUGUAAAAAACGGUUAUUUUUAAGGGUUUGAGGGUUCUACUAGAGAUGCUCUAAAGGUUGAAAAACAGGGACAAUCCUUAAACCCAACCCUUAUAAGGGUUGAAUUUGAGGGUUCUAGUCAUUGCCGCAACCUCAACCCUUAAAACUGUCAUUUGACAUAUCAUAAUUUCCAUCAUCUCAAUGACAGUUUGAAGAAAACAAUAAUCAUUAUAGUUAUCAUUACAACACCGAAUAGUACUUUCAAACACAUAAUAAUCAUUCAAGUUAUUACAACAAUGUUUUCAAGCAAAUUACAAUAAUUGUUCGGAUCAAAUAGGACACAUAAAAGUAAACAAAGGUACAUCAUGGGCCUUGGCGCCGCCCAACCAACUGCCACUAGUGAUCUACUAGAUCAUCCCGGAGCUGGCCAUGAGUGUGUGCAUCCUUAAUCUCACGAUGUGCUUGAAGAAAAGCUUGUACGCGAGAAGGGUUUCUUUCCAGUUGCACACGGGUACCAACAUUGUCAUAGAAACAAGGCAAUUUUAACCCUCUUUCAUCCUCUCGACAUCAUCGUCUUGAAGGAACUCCUCAAUGUCCGAAUCGUCCAAUGACGACCAACCGAAAUCAUUGGACAAUGCCUCCAUCUACACAACAUAAAUAAAAAAAUUAUGAGUGCCAACAAUGAAUCAAAAGGAAAAAUUAAACCAAAAAAAAGAAGAAAAAAUGCAUACCUUCCUGCUGCGGGAGGGAGGAGGUGGAGUGGGCGGGCGGCCGGCUGCCGGGACGCGGGCGGGAGGAGGUGGAGUGAGUGGGCGGCGGCCGGGACGCGGGCGGGAGGANNNNNNNNNNNNNNNNNNNNNNNNNNNNNNNNNNNNNNNNNNNNNNNNNNNNNNNNNNNNNNNNNNNNNNNNNNNNNNNNNNNNNNNNNNNNNNNNNNNNNNNNNNNNNNNNNNNNNNNNNNNNNNNNNNNNNNNNNNNNNNNNNNNNNNNNNNNNNNNNNNNNNNNNNNNNNNNNNNNNNNNNNNNNNNNNNNNNNNNNNNNNNNNNNNNNNNNNNNNNNNNNNNNNNNNNNNNNNNNNNNNNNNNNNNNNNNNNNNNNNNNNNNNNNNNNNNNNNNNNNNNNNNNNNNNNNNNNNNNNNNNNNNNNNNNNNNNNNNNNNNNNNNNNNNNNNNNNNNNNNNNNNNNNNNNNNNNNNNNNNNNNNNNNNNNNNNNNNNNNNNNGGGACGCGGGCGGGAGGAUGUGGAGUGUGCGGGCGGCAGCCGGGACGCGAACGAGGGGAGGUGGAGUGGGCAGGCGACGACCGGGGGGUAGGGCGGGGCGGGCGCGGGCAAGAGGCGGUUGGCCUGCUGCAGGCGGCGGCGGGGNNNNNNNNNNNNNNNNNNNNNNNNNNNNNNNNNNNNNNNNNNNNNNNNNNNNNNNNNNNNNNNNNNNNNNNNNNNNNNNNNNNNNNNNNNNNNNNNNNNNGCAUGUUGUUGAAAGAAUUAUGCGCUAUGUGAAAGGUAUUAUGAACCAUGGACUUCACUAUACUAGAUACCCGUCGGUACUUGAAGGGUAUAGUGAUGCGAAUUGGAUCUCUGAUGCUGAUGUGUUGAAGGCCACUACUGGGUAUAUGUUUACCCUUUGAGGUGGUAUUGUUUCCUGGAAGUCUUGCAAUCAAACGAUCUUAACGAGACCUACAAUGGAAGCAUAAUUAAUGGCAUUAGACACAUCUCGUGUCGAAGCAGAAUGUCUUCGAGAUCUUUUGAUGGACUUGCAAGUGGUUCAGAAGCCGGUUCUAACUAUCCUUAUGAAUUGUGAUAACGAGGCAGUUAUUUUCAGAGUGAAGAGUUAAAAGGAAAACAUGAAAUCCAACAAACAUAUAAGAAUGAGAUUGAAGGUUGUCACACAUUUAAGAAACUUCGGAGUGAUAGUGUUGGAUUACAUCCAACAUGCUAAGAAUCUGACAGAUCCCUUUACUAAAGGGCUAUCACGUGUUGUGAUCGAUACUACAUCGAGGGAGAUGGGUAUGAGACCCACAUGAGUUGCCAUGGCAGUAACCCAACCUAUGUGACUGGAGAUCCCAUGAAGUAGGACCUAGGAAAACAGGCCAGUGGUGAACUGAGGAGAGUAACUUUACAACCCACUCCGUUGGAGAUGCAAUACUCUCGGAUAUUGUAUGGUAGGAUGACUACUGUCUUAAUAUGUUUUAAAGCUUAUAUGUAAGCAAGAUGUUGUCCUACAUAGCGAUCUUUGAAGUAACACACCUAUAUGAGCCUGACAAUUGGUCAUAGUCUAUGAGAUUGGGGUCAUCUUUAGUAAACUCAUGAAUAGGCAAGGAGUGUGACUAAUAUGCUCCACCCGAGGGGUCAGCCUUCAACAACCUAGUACUAGUAAGAUAUAUGGUGAAACUUCUUUCCGCAAAACUAACAAUUCAAGGCACAGUCCAUUGUUCAAUUGUGAAGGAGUGUAGCUACGUGUUCUAGGUGAAACUCAAGCUUAACAAGUCUUCACUAAAAUGCUGGUAUAUCAAAACGGUAAUUGGAACAAAGGACAAAAUGGUCCCUUGAGAUGUGAUGGGGGAUUGUUGAAGUCUGAGAUGGGCCUAGGGCUCAUAUGGCAAUUUCAGAAAAAAAAUUCUCUAAGGGCCNNNNNNNNNNNNNNNNNNNNNNNNNNNNNNNNNNNNNNNNNNNNNNNNNNNNNNNNNNNNNNNNNNNNNNNNNNNNNNNNNNNNNNNNNNNNNNNNNNNNGAAGGACGGCCGCUUGUGUGGUGGACCUGAAAUAGGAAGUAUGUUUCCGCAUAAUCAAAUAAUUAAUGAGUAAUCUAUGAUGAAAGAGGUUGAUAUUUUCAUUGCUUGGUGGUCUUUAUGAAAAUAUUUUUCUUCGGGGAAGCUUUAGGUCUUCAUCAGGUGGUUCAAAAAUAUAGACGGUUUUAGGAACCUUUUGGAACAUUUCUAUUCAUUUUUAAUCAGUUUUAGAAACCUUUUGGUCCUGCUUCACUUUUUCCUAGAAAGGUAGCAUUUAAAAAAAGAAACUGAAAAAAUAUCUGACUUCUUAGAAAAUGUUUACGUUUAAAAAUAUUCAAGAAAUUUUAAAAAAAUUCUUCAGAAUUUUCUAAACAAUGCAUUUAAAAUAUCUGUUUGAAAAAUACGUUUAAUUUGUAUUUCAAAAAUAUUCAUGUGAGAGUCACGGUGAACCUGGGGUGCUGGGACCGAGGGCGGGCCAUGCCGGAACAAUCGACAAUGACACUAGCGAGCAGCAUCAAUGGUGACAGACGCACGCUAGUGGCAACUUAUAGUCUGAUCGGUCGGCUAGGACACGACAAGCGAAAGUUUGGGCCGGCCGUCUGGUGCCUAAUGUCCGUCUAUUACCACACUUGUUAUGUGGAAGAAUAAUCUUUAUGUAUGAAACGUGCACUCCCUCGCAGCAACGGGUCGGCCCAUGUAUAGUGGUUUUUCUUCUUUCAUUUCUUUGUUUUUAGGCAGUUUUACCAAAUUGCCUUCAUCAUUUUUAGUUUUCUUAUCCUUUUUGUUUUUACGUAUUUAUUGCAUUUACAAUCCAUGAACAUUUAUAAAAACAAUUGAAUAUUUUUUUAGAUUUGUGGGAAUAGAUUAGUGAACACUUUUAAAUUGUCAUGAACAUCUUUUCAUAUUUGCGAACAUUUUCCUUUUUUGGUAAUAAUUUGAAAUUACUGUACUUAUAUCAAUGCCAGCAUGAACAUCUUUCAUAAGCUGAGAAUAGAUGGGGCAACAUACAUAUAGCAAUGGAAGCAUAUGCGGCAUUGUAUGCAUGUUUGAAGGUUGGUGCAUCGGACUAUGCCAUUAGUUACAUUGAUUUCAUGUCAGAAAUUAGUUUGAAGACAUUUGUUCACCCUCCAUCACAAGUUUCAUCAAGUGUGAUACACAUGUUUCUAGCUUCCAUGAUUCACUCCAUCUCGUGCAUAUAUAUUGCAUAGACUCUUCAGUGUAUAUGAUCACAGAGAAGUGAAAGAUUUGCCGUUGGCAAUAAAAGACAAAUGGAGUGAGGUGGGCCGUGGCCGAGACUAUUUGAGCCUCACCCAUAGGGUGUUAUAGUGACAUGGGCCAUCCCACGCAGGGAUUGGUAGCAAAACCCAAUUCAGUGGGUAAUUCACCUCAAAACAAAUUGACACCGAGUUAUUCCAUUGAGUUUUCCAAGCUAAUCUUCUCUGAGAGGAUCAUCAAGGAGUUGAUCAUGACAAAACCUAUUUGAAACUUGUCGUGUCAAUCUGCCGCACAAAUGUAUAUGGAGUGUGACUUUGGGCUGGCCCAACGAACUAGAAUAGAGGUGGAAAAUAUUGGUAUCACUGGAGAUGGCACACUUAAAUUAUUUCGUCCCGCUUUAUAUAUAAAGCAUCAAUCAACAAUAUCUCGAUCCAAACUCACGCACACAUCCAAGGUGGAUAUAAUGGCGUUCUGCGCAGCAACACCAUCUGUAUCACUACGAAAGUUGUCGGGUUCUCAAUCUUGAACACGCCAUCACAAAAAGACGAGGCUGCAUACGACGAACCGUGCGCUUCAAAGCGACGUCUUCAGAAAGAAAACUACACCAGUGCGCCCCACCGUCCGAUCCGAGCAUCAGGAGGGUUUCCCUGGAGGAGUCAUGGUCAUGGAUGACCCAAAGUUUUACUCGGAGGAGAGAAGGCCACCUGACAUACGUAUCCUAUAUAGAUGAGGUCAAGGCCAUCCUGGAAGAAUGAGAAGUUCGACACACAUGUAGCGACCCAUAGACUAGAUCAGAUUGAUCCAAGGCAUUUUGCCUACCGGGUGGGCAUCGACCUGGGUAAAGGUUGUGCCCUUGUGUCUCGCUACCAAGUAAGUCAGUGCGACUACCAUAUCACUACGAGGCCCUGAUGAAAUUACUCGCAGCAUAUAUGAAAGGUCGCAAAGUGAUGAGAAUACCCUCUCCAAAAACCAAACUGGUGGAUUAGCUUUAGCACCUCUAAUCACAACCAUUGAUUACCUUUGGUUUCUGUGCCAAAAGUCCUAGAAAGCACAACACAUCUUGCGUGCGUAUGUGUAUGUGUGCGCGCGUACGUGUGGUGUUAUUUGUGCAAACUGUGUCUACGGGCUCUUUGUAAUAUAGAAAGUUGUACCCUUACAUAAAGAUCCUAGCCUACCUUCGUUGGUUGUUGACUAGCAACCCGACGUGAAGAUAUUGAUACCCGCCUACCCUAAAUAUUGUUUGUUCGGCGUGCAUGUUAUUUUUUGAAAAGGAGGAACAAAGCGUCCGUCCUCUGCAUCAAUCGAUGCAUGCAGUCAUAUUAUUAUAAAAGAAUAAUGACUAGGCGUGCCAAAAAUGUUUGUCAUUAGGCAAGUUUUCAUACGGUAAUCGCCCACAUAUAUGUUACAAAAUUACAAAUUGUAGAGAACCUUGUAUUCUGCAGACGAGACAAGCUCGGUAAGUUUUGAACAUGAAUUUGUGGUCGUGGCAAUUGGAGGCUGAGUGUAUGGUCCUCUUAGCAGACCAUCAGCAAUCACCCUGUAUGACGUUUCUGUGGGAUGCAAGCCAUCCCAAGAUGCAUAAUUUUGUGGGUUAUUACACACCUUGUAUUCUCCAUGUCCACACUUUGUGGUUAUGGACACACCAUAAGGCCCUUCUACACCGCAGCAAGCCAUCAGAGGAUCCUCGAUCCCUAAAGAGCAGUUACAGCAAAUAAGAGCCGAGACUAGCAUAUGCAUAUCUUGCAAAUAUAUAUGCAUACCAUAAAGAGGAUGUUUUUCUUGCUAGCUGCUAAGUGAUUUCAUGCCAUAAAGUUCUGGACUCACCAAACUUAUAAGGGGAAACAAAGAUCUCCAUAGCAGCUCCAUAGUAAUCAGCAUAGAUGAUCGACGCACAAGGAUAAAGUUUCCGUAACUUUUCCAGCUCAUCCACAAGAAGUUUGUUGUGGUAGCGUGAGAACUCGUUCAUCCAACGGAUACAGCCUGUCUCUGACUCAUAAUCCCCCAUGUUAUCAGUCUGGUACAUCGUGAGGUACACCGGCAAGCACCCGAUUGGGAGGUUGCCGGGAACUACUAGAGUUUUGGCUCCCAAUCCAAUCAGAUCCUGCAAAUUCACUUAGUUACAUUGCAUUAUUAUUUAGUUAUGCACUAUUUCUGUAAUUGGGAUUUGACAUAAUAACGACGGUAAUAUAUAUAGCAUAAUUAAGGAGAAAGAAACAACAAAUGACUCACUGUGAUUGUAGAUGAAAUUUUGGAAAUAACACUCGGAGCGAACGCGCGAAUCUUCUCAACAGGCACCGAAGAGGUAAGAGGAAUGUUGUAGUCAUUUCCCCCAAUUUCUCCAACCAAGAAAAGAGAUUUGUUCAUCAUGCCCACACAAUCUAUUGAAUAAACGCGUUACUUUAUGAAUGUGCAAAGAUUACACCUUAUUUAAUUUAGAAAAUAUAUCAAAUAUGGUACUAAAACAGUGAAAGGCUCACAACAAAUUUACAUCCAUUUAUUUAUGACCCCCUUAUAGAGGAAAUUUGGAAGUACUAUAUCUCUGACUUCGAAUGUCAAAGUUGUCUCCUAUGGAUAACAGUAACGUUGUUGUGAUUAAUUAUGGUAAAGUAAACCAACUGUAAAUUGAUUACCUUUUCUGCUGAAAUUUCUGCAAUCAAGCUUGAACCUCACUACAUUAGCUUAAUUUGGAGAUCAGUAUGGAUCCUGAAAUUAUUGGGCUGGGCCCAUUAUUUAUAACGAAAAAAUCAAUAAAUUUUAAAGGCCCACUCAUUCAUGUUGAAUCUUAUUUGGCGCCCUCAGUGCCGGUUAUAAGCUAUUCUGUAAAGCCGCGCACCCACCUGCCCCUCUCAAUGAAUUUAUUUCCUUAGAAUCAAUGAAUUGUAUUCAAAUUCAUGUUACUAUCAAAUUCUAUGACAUUUUUUCAAUUUUCAAGACUUCUUCAAAUUUCAUGAACGUUUUCAACUUUUUGAAGCUGUUUUAAAAUUUUGGAAACAUUAUAAUCCACUUUUAUAAUUGGUGAACCUUUUCAGAUUUAUGAAGUUUUUUACAAAUCCAUGAAUUUUUUUUGAAAUCACAAACUUUCUUCAAAUUGGAGAUUUUUUUUUUCAAAUUCACGCACUUCAUAAAACUACUGAACUUUUUCGAGAUUCGCAGACUAUUUUAAACUCAUGAAAUUGUUUUACUUUGAAAAAACAGGAGUAGUUUUUUUUUCAGUGAACAACACAACACAAAAAAAGAAAACCGAGCAAAAGAAAAAAGCGAAUGAAUGAAUAAAAGGGCAAGCAAUCUGGAGCGGGGCAGGCUGGGCUGCAGACCUUGAGGGGAUGUGCAAGCGCUACAAACCGUAGUUCGCGGUGACGGCGCUAAUUAGAAGUCUCCUCAUGCAUGGCCUAUUGUGGAACCAAAUUUAGGAUUUGUUUGGAACUGCUGAACUUCAUAAAAAUCAGUUCCGCUUCACUAAAUUCAUUUUAAAGUAGUUUUAUACAGAAGUUGUAAUUAUUUUUAAGGGAAUGUUUAGCUUUCAUCUAGCUCCUGAAUGAAAAUUUUGGUGGAAAGGGGUACCCACUUACUGGUGGUAGUUGCGGGUAAUUUCCUUCCAACUUCAGUUUCUAUAUUUUUUUUGGAGUACCUCUUAAAAGAUUCACAAAAACAUGAAGUUGUACCCCAUAUUCUACUUUUUUUUAUGGAACGACAUGUCGUGGAGCUAUCCGUUUGGCUUUUGUUUUCUGGAGUAGAGCUGAAUUUCAAAAAGCGGAGUAGUCCCAAACAGACCCUUAGUUCCAUAUUGCUAGUGAAGAUGGAGUUCCACAUUGCUAGCCGAGAGGGAGUUUCACACAUAUCUAGUUUUUACGAAUUGGAUGUACAUAGAGACAAGUUUCAGUAUGUUUGUUCAUAUUUUAAUUUGUAUAUAGUUUGAACUAAAAUAUCAAAAACUUUUAAUAUAAAAAACAUUUCAUAUUAAAAUUCAUCAUGAAAUACCCAUCAAAACACCGCAUUAUCAAGAAAAUAGAAAACAUAGGCCACCGUAUUUCAUAUUUAAUCAAACCUGAAGAGCUUUGACUUUUAAAAAAUCUAAAAUAUCUAAUAUACGUAUAUUUAAAAAAAUACUAAUUUAUUUCAUAAAAACACAACAACACCAAUGAUGUAGCAACCCGCACUUAAUCCUUCUAGUGCAUGACCAAUGGUGGAAACCAAAUUGCUAGUGGAGAGGGAGUUACACAUUGCUAGCCGAGAGGGAGUUACACAUUGCUAGCCGAGAGGGAGUUUCACAUAUAUUCAAAAAUCCUUUUUGGUAAUUUUCAAUACAUACAUUUCCUGCUUAAACUGCCGAGCCCACCUCCCAAGGUGAUUACUCCCUCCGUUCCUAAAUAUAAGUCUUUUUACAGGUUCCACUAGUGAAUUACAUACGGAUGUAUAUAUACAUAGUUUAAAGUGUAGAUUCAUUCAUCUUGCUCCGUAUGUAGACCCCUAGUGAAAUAUUUUAAAAAAACUUAUACUCCCUCCGUUACGGUUUAGAAGGCGAGCAUAAAAUUUUUUUAGAACCUAGAUGGUUAUUGAUUGGUUGUGAAAUGAGUUAAAAAAAUAGCAUUCACACUACGCAUGCAUAUAAAAAUAGUACAACGGAGUACUAAUUAGAUGCUAGGAGUAAAUGCAAUACGCCUUAAACCUUGUCUAUUAUGAAAAUGCACGUAAAUUUAACCGUGCCUUUUAAACCGUGACGGAGUUAGUAUUUAGGAACGGAUGGAGUACUUCUUAGGGAGAAAAAUGACUAACCGCUGCAUGCAUGUUUAUGCGCCGAUACCAAACUUGACAUAGGAAUUUUCCCCGCGUAAUGGUACUCCCUCUGUUUAUAAAUAUAAGAGAUGUCCUAACUUUUUAUGAAUUGGAUGUACAUAGAGACACGUUUCAGUAUGUUUUUCCAUAUUUUAAUUCAUAUAUAGUUUAUAUUAAAAUAUUAAGAACAUUUUAUAUUUGUGAACAAAUGGCGUAAUUGAUAGUAUGUAGCACCAGCUCACCAUUCGUAAAACGAAAAGUAGCCACUACUUUCGGGUGUACCACCCCGAGUUUGCAUAAACCUGAAAGACAUGCUAAAACCAAACGAAAAAAUAAACUGGAUAAUUUGAGACAUCAAACGUUACCAAAUGAUCGAGCUACUUGAUAAAAUUUAGCUAACAGUAACGUCCGAAGAGCUCUUACUAAAAAAAUAAAAUUAUUGCUCAAACAGUGCAUAAAAGAUGCAACAUUCAAGUCGCGUUAGAAGAACUUGGUAGUAAAUUUAGAGGAGGCGCAAACCUAACGUAAGAUACAAUCUGUCACCCUGAACUGGGGUGUCCAUGUUUGAAGUUUCUAGCGAAAUGCAUCAUCGCCCCUGGAUCGAGAAAAUAAGCUCACAGAAAUGUUGAAGUGGAUGAAACAUACCGGCUAAAUCACUGGGGCAGAGCAGUUGGAGCAUGUCGCGGAACCAACUCAUCUCCAUGUCGAGGUGGACCAAGUCGGCCCUCGCCGCGGCGAACCCGUGCUCCCACAAGGCUUCCGGGCUCAGCGCCGUGGCGGCGCCCACGGCGAAGUUGGCCCCUCCGGCGAAGUCCUCCGAGCUCCGCCCGCUCCAGUACGGCCUCACGAACGGCAGCCCUAGCGCGUCCGCUGCGUCGUCGUGGCGCACCCACACAACACAACACAAUCCCAGAAUUAGCACGCAUGCUCUUCCAUUCCUACCAAGCUGUUCGGUGGACUGGUCGCAUGCUUGCUCCGUACCGAUGAAGUCGACGGCGAUGCGGCCGUUGGAGAAGCGGCCGGUGGCGCGGUGGAAGAAGGUCUCGCCGUAGGGCAGCCUGGGCCCGGUGCCGUUGCCGUAGACGUAGCGGUAGUUGCCCGUGUCCGCCAGCGAAUCCCCGAAGCUGAACACCCGCGAGUAGCACGCCCGCGCCGGCCGCGCCGCCGCCAGCGCCAGUAGCACCACCGCCAAUUUCACCGGCAACAUUGUGGCAGAGGGAGCCAUGCUGAAUCUCUCUUCCUGUCUCUCUCUUUCUCGUGGGACAUGUGCUCGAGAUGAAAGGAUACAAAGAAUCCACGGGGAGCGGGAGGGGAAGUGACUGCCACCUACUCCACCAAACGGUGGUGAUCACGAUCGCGAUCGCCAGCGCGGGCGGUCGCUUUCAUCCAGCAAGGCAGCAAGUUGCAGGAAAGAUGAUGCCGCGCAUAAGAAGAAACACAAGAGCUUAUUCCUGUAUUACUUUUUUUUUGUAAGCAGAGCUGAGCAGGAAACAAAUAGUGGAGAUGGCAAACACGAGUAAAGAUUGCACGUGACCGUGAGUAUAUAAUAUAGCAGAACGGGAGGAGAGCAACUCCAACGGGACGACCUAAACGGACGACGAUUUUGUUUGCUUUUUGUCCAUUUGAGUCGGCCAAACGGACAUGAACGCCCGCUUCCGCAAAUGGGUUGGCCCGUGCCCCCAACGCUGACCGGACCCAUUUUUGCCGGCGUGAAAAAAUAAAUACAUAAUGCAUAAUUAAACAUUAAAAGCCGGCCACGAAGGCCGGUGAUACGCCCGCAUUACAUUAAUUAAACAUAAAAAAACCUAAAACUACGAGGGCAAUCCUAGGCGUCGUCGUCGUCGUCGUCGGGGCCGGUGAGGUUGACCAGCGUAGGCGCAGGGCCGGCCCAGGGGAACGCCGAGUCCCAGAGCGCAGCUGCCUGCGCCUCCGUCGUCUGCCCCGCCGGCGCGGGCUGUGCUAGUGGCGGUGGCAGCGCAGCAACACGGGCACGCUCCUCCUCCUCCGCCUCCGGUCGCUCCUCCUCCUCCUCCACCUCCUUCUCCACCUCCAUGAGCCGCGGGCCUUCGGCACGCUCCGCCAGCAGGUGAUGCGACUUCCAGUGCUCGAGGUAGGCUUGCUCCUGCUGCGGUGUCGCGCCCAGCCAAAUGGGCGGCGCCGUGACGAGCUCCUAGACGACGCCGGUCCACUGGUAGACCUCCCGCGGCUCGGGCUCGGGCUUCGGCGGAGGUGGCACGACGCAAUCGCUGGCGGUCGACAGCGCGAUGGCCUCCGCGAGCUGCUGGUGGUACGCCGCCUCAUCGUCGGCCCUGCACCGCGCUUCCUCCUCGAUGUCGCGGAGGACAGCUGCGAGCGACGCCUGGUAGGUGGCCUCAGCCUCCUGGUCCUCGUCGCUUACGACAGGAGGAGGCGGCGGAGGGCCUACUAGCUGCACUUCGCGCACGCCACGACGGCGUUGCGCCUCGUGCUCCACCGCGAACCAGACCUCCCAGUUAGGGGAGUCGGCCGCGUACGUGGGGUCUGUUUGAAAUAUGCCCUAGAGGCAAUAAUAAAUCAGUUAUUAUUAUAUUUCUUUGUUCAUGAUAAUCGUUUAUUAUCCAUGCUAUAAUUGUAUUGAUUGGAAACACAAUACUUGUGUGGAUACAUAGACAAAACAUUGUCCCUAGUAAGCCUCUAGUUGACUAGCUCGUUGAUCAAAGAUGCUCAAGGUUUCCUGACCAUAGACAAGUGUUGUCACUUGAUAACGGGAUCACAUCAUUAGGAGAAUCAUGUGAUGGACUAGACCCAAACUAAUGAAAGUAGCAUGUUGAUCGUGUCAUUUUGUUGCUACUGUUUUUCUGCGUGUCAAGUAUUUCUUCCUAUGACCAUGAGAUCAUAUAACUCACUGACACCGGAGGAAUGCCUCGUGUGCAUCAAACGUCGCAACAUAACUGGGUGACUAUAAAGAUGCUCUACAGGUAUCUCCGAAGGUGUCCGUUGAGUUAGUAUGGAUCAAGACUGGGAUUUGUCACUCCGUGUGACGAAGAGGUAUCUCGGGGCCCACUCGGUAAUACAACAUCACACACAAGCCUUGCAAGCAAUGUGACUUAGUGUAAGUCACGGGAUCUUGUAUUACGGAACGAGUAAAGAGACUUGCCGGUAAACGAGAUUGAAAUAGGUAUGCGGAUAGUGACGAUCGAAUCUCGGGCAAGUAACAUACCGAAGGACAAAGGGAAUGACAUACGGGAUUAUAUGAAUCCUUGGCACUGAGGUUCAAACGAUAAGAUCUUCGUAGAAUAUGUAGGAUCCAAUAUGGGCAUCCAGGUCCCGCUAUUGGAUACUGACCGAGGAGUCUCUCGGGUCAUGUCUACAUAGUUCUCAAACCCGCAGGGUCUGCACACUUAAGGUUGAGCGUUGCUUUAUGCGUAUUUGAGUUAUAUGGUUGGUUACCGAAUGUUGUUCGGAGUCCCGGAUGAGAUCACAGACGUCACGAGGGUUUUCGGAAUGAUCCGGAGACGAAGACUGAUAUAUAGGAUGACCUCAUUUGAUUACCGGAAAGUUUUCGGCAUUACCGGGAAUGUACCGGGAGUGACGAAUGGGUUCCGGAUGUUCACCGGGGGGGGGGGGNNNNNNNNNNNNNNNNNNNNNNNNNNNNNNNNNNNNNNNNNNNNNNNNNNNNNNNNNNNNNNNNNNNNNNNNNNNNNNNNNNNNNNNNNNNNNNNNNNNNNNNNNNNNNNNNNNNNNNNNNNNNNNNNNNNNNNNNNNNNNNNNNNNNNNNNNNNNNNCCCCCCCCGGGGAAGCCCAUAGGAAACACCAGCCCUUAGUAGGCUGGUGGGCAAGCCCAAGAAGGCCCCUGCGUAGGUUAAAGGAAAAUCAAAGAGAAAAAAAAGGGGAAGUGGGAAGGAAGGGAAGGACUCCACCUUCCAAUCCUAGUUGGACUAGGAUUGGAGGAGGAUUCCUCCUCCCCUCCUUCUGCCGACCCCCUUGGGGCUCCUUGAGCCUCAAGGCAAGGCCCCUCCCCUCCCACCUAUAUAUACGGAGGUAUUAGGGCUGAUUUGAGACAACUUUUCCACGGCAGCCCGACCACAUACCUCCAUGGUUUUUCCUCUAGAUCGCGUUUCUACGGAGCUCGGGCGGAGCCCUGCUGAGAUUAGAUCACCACUAACCUCCGGAGCACCGUCACGCUGCCGGAGAACUCAUCUACCUCUCCGUCUCUCUUGAUGGAUCAAGAAGGCCGAGAUCAUCGUCGAGCUCUACGUGUGCUGAACGCGGAGGUGUCGUCCGUUCGGCACUAGAUCGGAGCGGAUCGUGCGACGGAUCGCGGGACGGUUCGUGGGACGGUUCGCGGGGCGGAUCGAGGGACGUGAGGACGUUCCACUACAUCAACCGCGUUUAUUAACGCUUCUGCUGUGCGAUCUAAAGGGUACGUAGAUCGGAAAUAUCUUCUCGUAGAUGGACAUCACCAUGAUAGGUCUUCGUGCGCGUAGGAAAAUUUUUGUUUCCCUUGCGACGUUCCCCAACAGUGGCAUCAUGAGCUAGGUUCAUGCGUGGAUGUUAUCUCGAGUAGAACACAAAAGGUUUUGUGGGCGGUGAUGUGCGAUUUGCUGCCCUCCUUUGUCUUUUCUUGAUUCCGCGGUAUUGUUGGAUCGAAGCGGCUCGGGCCGACAUUACUCGUACUCUUACGAGAGAUUGGUUUCAUCGCUACGAGCAACCCUGUUGCUCAAAGAUGACUGACGAGUGUCGGUUUCUCCAACUUUAGUUGAAUCGGAUUUGACCGAGGAGGUCCUUGGAGAGAGGUUAAAUAGCAAUUCAUACACCUCCGUUGUGGUGUUUGCGUAAGUAAGAUGCGAUCCUACUAGAUACCCAUGGCAACCACGUAAAACAUGCAACAACAAUUAGAGGACGUCUAACUUGUUUUUGCACGGUAUGCUUGUGAUGUGAUAUGGCCAACGACGUGAUGUGAUAUAUUGGAUGUAUGAGAUGAUCAUGUUGUAAUAGUUAAUAUAGACUUGUACGUCGAUGGUACGACAACCGGCAGGAGCCAUAGGGUUGUCUUUAAACUAACAUUUAUGCUUGCAGAUGCGUUUACUAUAUUGCUAGGACAUAGCUUUAGUAGUAAUAGCAUGAGUAGCACGACAACCCCGAUGGCGACACGUUGAUGGAGAUCAUGNNNNNNNNNNNNNNNNNNNNNNNNNNNNNNNNNNNNNNNNNNNNNNNNNNNNNNNNNNNNNNNNNNNNNNNNNNNNNNNNNNNNNNNNNNNNNNNNNNNNNNNNNNNNNNNNNNNNNNNNNAUCCUUUAUGCACCUUAUUAUGCUUAGAACGACGGUAGCAUUAUGAGGUGAUCUCUCACUAAAAUUUCAAGCUCAAAUUGUGUUCUCCCCGACUGUGCACCGUUGCGACAGUUCGUCGUUUCGAGACACCACGUGAUGAUCAGGUGUGAUAGACUCAACGUUCACAUACAACGGGUGCAAAAUAGUUGCACGCGCGGAACACUCGGGUUAAACUUGACGAGCCUAGCAUGUACAGAUAUGGCCUCGGAACACAAGAGACCGAAAGGUCGAGCAUGAAUCGUAUAGUUGAUAUGAUUAGCAUAGAGAUGCUUACCACUGAAACUAUUCUCGACUCACGUGAUGAUCGGACUUGAGAUAGUGGAUUUGGAUCAUGUACCACUCAAAUGACUAGAGAGAUGUACUUUUUGAGUGGGAGUUCUUAAGUAAUAUGAUUAAUUGAACUAAUUGUCAUGAACAUAGUCUAAUGGUCUUUGCGAAUUAAGAUGUAGCUUGUGCUAUAGCUCUACUGUUUUAAUAUGCUCCUAGAGAAAAUUUAGUUGAAAGUUGAUAGUAGCAAACUUUGCGGACUGAGUCUGUAAAACUGAGGAUUGUCCUCGAUUGCUGCGCAGAAGGCUUGUGUCCUUAAUGCACCACUCGGUGUGCUGCACCUCGAGCGUCGUCUGUGGAUGUUGUGAACAUCCGACAUACACGUUUCUGAUGACUACACAAUAGUUCAGUGCAAAAUACUUAAUGGCUUAGAAGCAAGGCGCCGAAGACAUUUUGAAACGUCACGGAACAUAAGAGAUGUUCUAAAGAGAUGAAAUUGUGAUUUCAUGCUUGUGCCCUUGUUAAGAUGUAUGAGACCUCUGACAAGAUUCUUUGUCCACGAAGUAGAGGAGAAAAGCUCAAUCGUUGAGCGUGUGCUCAGAUUGUCUAAGUACGACAAUCGCUUGAAUCAAGUGGGAGUUAAUCUUCCAGAUGAAAUAGUGAUGGUUCUCCAAAGUCACUGCCACCAAGCUGUGAGAGCUUCGUGAUGAACUAUAACAUAUCAAGGAUAGAUACAAUGAUCCUUGAGCGAUUCGCAAUGUUUGACACUGCGAAAGUAGAAAUCAAGAAGGAGCAUCAAUAGUUGAUGGUUAGUAAAACCACUAAGUUUUAAGAAAGGCAAGGGCUAGAAGGGAUACUUCGUGAAACGGCAAAACAGUUGUUGCACUAAUGAAGAGACCCAAUAUUAAACCCAAACCCGAGACUAAGUGCUUCUGUUAUGAGGGGAACGGUCACUGAGGCGGAGCUACCCUAGAUGCUUGGUAGAUAAGAAGGCUGGCUAAGUCGAAAGAAGUAUAUUUGAUAUACAUGAUGUUGAUGUGUACUUUACUAGUGCUCCUAGUAGCGCGAGGGUAUUGGAUACCGGUUCGGUUGCUAAGUGAUUAGUAACACAAAAUAAAAGCUACGGAAUAAACGGAGACUAGCUAAAGGCAAGGUGACGAUACGUGUUGGAAGUGUUUGCAAGGUUGAUAUGAUUAAAUGUCGAACGCUCCCUCUACCAUCGGGAUUGGUGUUAAACCUAAAUAAUUAUUAUUUGGUGCUUGCGUUAAGCAUGAACAUGAUUGGAUCGUGUUUAUUGCAAUACGAUUAUUCAUCUAAAAGAAUAAUGGUUACUCUAUUUGCUUGAAUAAUCACCUUCAAUGGUUUAUUGAAUCUCGAUCGUAGUGUUACACAUGUUCAUGAUAUUGGUGCCAAAAGAUACAAAGUAAUGAUGAUAGUACCACUUACUUGCGGCACUGCCGCUUGAGUCGUGUUGGUAUAAGUUGCAUGAAGAGGCUCUAUAUUGAUGGAUCUUUGUACUCACUUGAUUUUGAAUCACUUGUGACAUGCAAAUCAUACCACAUGAGCGAGGCCUUGUUUUCAUUGAGAAGAGACAAGAUAGUAACUUGUUGGAAGUAAUACAUUUUGAUGUAUGCAGUCCAAUGGGUGCUGAGGCACGCAGUGGAUAUUAUUAUGUUCUUACUUCAAUGACGAUUUGAGCAGAUACAUGAGUAUUUAUUAAUGAAUCACGAGUCUGAAAUAUUGAAAAAGUUCAAUUUUGUUUCAGAGUGAAGUUCGUCGUAACAAGAGGAUAAACUGUCUACGAUAUGAUCAUAGAGAUGAAUAUCUGAGUUGCGAGUUUUGGUACACAGUUAAGACAAUGUGGAAGUUAUUUGGCAAUUCAUGCCACCAAGAGCACCAUAGUGUGAUGGUGUGUCCGAACGUCAUAGCCGCGACCUAUUUGAUAUGGUGCAAAAUAUGAUGUCUCUCAUCGAAUUACCCCUAUCGUUUAUGGGUUAUGCAUUAGAGACAACCGCAUUCACUUUAAAUAGGGCACCUCAUAUUUCCGUUGAGAUGACACAGUAUAGACUAUGGUUUAGAGAAACCUAAGCUGUCGUUUCUUGAAAGUUUGGGGUUACGAUGCUUAUGUGAAACGGUUUCAGUCUGAUAAGCUCGAACCCAAAGCGGAUAAAUAUAUCUUCAUAGGAUAUCCAAAACAGUUGGAUACAUCUCCUAUCCCAGAUCCGGAAGCAAAGUGUUUGUUUCUAGAAACAGAUCCUUUCUUGAGGAAAGAUUUCUCUCAAAAGAAUUGAGUGGGAGAGUGGUGGAACUUGAUGAGGUUAUUGAACCGUCACUUCAACCAGUGUGUAGCAGGGCGCAGGAAGUUGUUCCUAUGGCGCCUACAUCAAUUGAAGUGGAAGCUGAUGAUAGUGAUCAUUAGAGCUUCGGAUCAAGUUACUACAAAACCUCGUAGGUCGACAAAGGUCGCGUACUACUACAGAGUGGUAUGGUAACCCUGUCUUGGAGGUCAUGUUGUUGAGCGACAAUGAACCUACGAGUUAUGGAGAAACAAUGGUGGGCCCGUAUUCCGACAAAUGGCUGGAGGCCAUGAAAUCCGAGAGAGAAUCCAUGUAUGAAACAAAGUGUAGAGUUUGGAAGAACUGCUUGAUGGUAGUAAGACUUUUAAGUAAAGAUGGAUCUUUAAAAGGAAGACAAACGAUGAUGGUGAUAAGUCACUAUUCAAAAAAGCUCGACUUGUCACAAAGAUGUUUUCGACAAGAUCAAAGAGUUCACUAUGAUGUGACUUUCUCACUCGUAGCGAUGCUAAAGUCUUUUGGAAUUAUGUUAGUAGUUGUUGCAUUAUUUGUGAAACAUUGCACAUAGGAAGUCAAAACAUUGUUUCCUCAACGGUUUCCUUGAGGAAAGAUUNNNNNNNNNNNNNNNNNNNNNNNNNNNNNNNNNNNNNNNNNNNNNNNNNNNNNNNNNNNNNNNNNNNNNNNNNNNNNNNNNNNNNNNNNNNNNNNNNNNNUGGACUAGACCCAAACUAUGAACGUAGCAUGUGAUCGUGUAAUUUUGUUGUUAUUGUUUUCUGCGUGUCAAGUAUUUAUUCCUAUGACCAUGAGAUCAUAUAACUCACUGGUACCGGAGGAAUACCUUGUGUGUAUCAAACGUCGCAACGUAACUGGGUGACUAUAAGGGUGCUCAACAGGUAUCUCCGAAGGUGUCCGUUGAGUUAAUAUGGAUCAAGACUAGGAUUUGUCACUCCGUGUGNNNNNNNNNNNNNNNNNNNNNNNNNNNNNNNNNNNNNNNNNNNNNNNNNNNNNNNNNNNNNNNNNNNNNNNNNNNNNNNNNNNNNNNNNNNNNNNNNNNNNNNNNNNNNNNNNNNNNNNNNNNNNNNNNNNNNNNNNNNNNNNNNNNNNNNNNNNNNNNNNNNNNNNNNNNNNNNNNNNNNNNNNNNNNNNNNNNNNNNNNNNNNNNNNNNNNNNNNNNNNNNNNNNNNNNNNNNNNNNNNNNNNNNNNNNNNNNNNNNNNNNNNNNNNNNNNNNNNNNNNNNNNNNNNNNNNNNNNNNNNNNNNNNNNNNNNNNNNNNNNNNNNNNNNNNNNNNNNNNNNNNNNNNNNNNNNNNNNNNNNNNNNNNNNUAUUGGAUAUUGACCGAGGAGUNNNNNNNNNNNNNNNNNNNUAGUUCUCGAACCCGCAGGGUGUGCACACUUAAGGUUCGAUGAUGUUUUAGUAUAGUUGAGUUAUAUGUGUGGUUACCGUAUGUUGUUCGGUGUCCCGGAUGAGAUCACGGACAUCACGAGGGUUUUCAGAAUAGUCCGGAAACGAAGAUUGNNNNNNNNNNNNNGACGUUGUUUUAUGCGUAUUUGAGUUAUAUGGUUGGUUACCGAAUGUUGUUCGGAGUCCCGGAUGAGAUCACGGACGUCACGAGGGUUUCCGGAAUGGUCCGGAAACGAAGAUUGAUAUAUAGGAUGGUUUCAUUUGUUGACCGGAAGGUUUCGGGCAUUUCCAGAGUGUACCGGGAGUGACGAAUGGGUUCCGGAUAUUCACCGGGAGGGGCCCACCCACCCGGGAGUGAGCCGAGUGACCCUAGGGUAGCGCACCAGCUCUUAGUGGGCUGGUGAGGCCAGCCCAAUAUGGCCAUGGCGCCACAAGUGGACAAACACCAAAGAAAAGGGAAAAAAAAGGAAAAGAGGGAGGUGGGAAGGGAGAGGAGGACUCCUCCUUCCCCAAACCGAAUUGGAGUAGGAGUCCUCCUCUCCACUUCGGCCGGCGCACCAAGGGGCUCCUUGAGCCCCAAGGCUAGCCCCUCCCCUCCUCCUAUAUAUGUUGGUGGUUUAGGGCUUUUUGAGACAUACUUUGCCACGUGCAACUCAAACAUAUAUCACGUAGUUUUACCUCUAGAUCGGAUUUCUGCGGAGCUCGGACGGAGCCCUGCAAGAGUAGAUAAUCACCACCAUUGGAGCGUCGUCACGCUGCCGGAGAANNNNNNNNNNNNNNNNNNNNNNNNNNNNNNNNNNNNNNNNNNNNNNNNNNNNNNNNNNNNNNNNNNNNNNNNNNNNNNNNNNNNNNNNNNNNNNNNNNNNGCAUUUAAGACAUGGAGGAGUAAAUUCAACUUGACUAGCGCUAAUCUGUUGAGCUAGUAAUGAAUCAUUUUCCUUACGAAGAUCAUCAUGAGACAUCCUCAGCUUCUCAAGAUCAAGCUUUCUUUGAAGGAAUUCGUAGGAAAGCUUCUCAUGAUCAGUGAGGAGUGUAUCAUGACUAUCCUGAAGAUUAUCAAAUCUAGACUGAAGAUUUUUCAUGUCAUCAGCGAGGAUUUGAUUAAGAUUCAUUUCAUCAUUCAAGAGAUCAUCACUUUUGUCUAGCAGUUUUUGAAGCUUUUCCAGAGCAGUUUGUUGUUUAGUGGCAAUGAUGGCAAGUUUACUGUAACUAGGUUUUUUGUAAUCAUCAUGUUCACAGUCACUUGAAUCAGAGGAGGAGGUAUUAUUUGAUACCUUUGAACCUUUUGCCAUGAAGCAAUAGGUUGGAGCGAAGUCAUCAGCAUUGUCAUGAGUAUGGAUGGUGCACUCAUUUUCAUCAAGAUUGAAGAUUGACUUGCUGACGAAAUUUGUUGCUAGUGCAAGACUAGCUUGUCCGGAUUCUGAGUCUUCUCCAGAGCCUUCUUCUUCAUCACAUUCCUCAGAUUCUGCCUCGGAAUCCAUUUCCUUGCCAAUAAGUGCCCGAGCCUUUCUGAAGCUAGUCUUCUUGUGUGAGGAGGACUCUGAAGAUGAGGAUUUUGAAGAUUUCUUCUUCUUCCUUGAGUCAUCAGAACUGUCAUCCUUGUAUUUCUUCUUCUUUGAUUCCUUUCCCCAGCGAGGACAAUCAACAAUGUAAUGACCUGAUUUCUUGCACUUGUGUGAGGUCCGUUUCUUGUAGUCCUCAGAUGCAGAUUCUGAUUUCCUGAUGUCUCUUCUUGAUGAUUUACUGAACUGGCCUCGUCGUGUAAAUCUCUGGAAUUUCCUCACAAGCAUUGCAAGUUCCUGACCAAAUUCUUCAGGGUCACAACUGCUGUCAUCUGUGUCUUCUUCUUCAGAUGAGGAAAUUGCUCUUGCCUUCAGUGCACGUGGUCUGGAAUAGCUUUGUCCAUAUAGAUCUCUCUUUUCUUCUAGCUGGAAUUCAUGAGUAUUCAGCCUUUCGAGGAUAUCAGCUGGAUCUAGCAUCUUGUAGUCUGGUCUUUCGUGAAUCAUCAGAACUAGAGUGUUGAAUGAAGAAUCUAGGGAUCUCAGCAGUUUCUUCACAACUUCGUGAUCAGUGAUGUCUCGAGCUCCCAGUGCUUGCAGUUCAUUUGAUAUGUCAGUGAGGCGAUCAAAGGUGUCUUGGCAGCUUUCAUUGUCAUGUCUCUUGAAGCGAUUGAAGAGAUUGCGAAGAAUAUCAACACGAGAGUCACGUUGGGUUGAUACUCCUUCAUUUACCUUGCACAGUCUCUCCCAGAUCAGUGUUGCACAGCCUAAGGCACUUACUCUUCCAAACUGGCCAGGGCUCAGAUGACCACACAUGAUGUUCUUCGCUUGAGAAUCGAGUUGCUUGAAUUUCUUCACAUCAGCUACAGUGACACUAGCAGAAAUGAUGGGGACACCAUUUUCCACAAUAUACCAGAGAUCAUUGUCUAUAGCUUGUAGAUGCAUUUGCAUUUUGUUCUUCCAGAAGGGAAAGUUCUUUCCCUCGUAGGUAGGACAUGUUGCACUCACCUAAACAUUCCUGCAGUCGACAUAACUAAAACUCCAGGUGGUUAAACCAAAAUCACACAGAACAAGGGAGUACCUUGCUCUGAUACCAAUUGAAAGUGCGUUAUAUCGACUAGAGGGGGGUGAAUAGGAGAUUUUAGAAUUUCAUCACUGAGGAAAUUCCUUUUGAGGAAAUUCCUCACUGAUGACUAACUUACAGCGGAAACAGUUAAGGAUCAGUCGUGCAAACUACACAAGAGCAGUAUUACAGAGUGAAGAUUACGAAAACAGAUUGCACAGUAAGCAGGCACGCAGAAUACAGAUGAGGAUUAACUGACGUGAAGAAUUUGGGGUUGAGGAAAUUCAGAGAAAGUCUUCAGCAAAUUCUUCAAAGAGUCGCAGUGAAAGUCAUCAACACAUAAUACGAGGAAAGUAAGGAGUUGAGGAAUUAGAACCCGUUUCUCAGUGAAGACAGUCGUAGAUGACCCAGUUCCAACUGCUGUGACAGUCGUACAUCUGGUUUGGAGCGGCUUGGUAUUGAAACCAAAGGACACACAGUCCCGGGACACAUAGUCUCUACCGUAUUCUCCUUGAGCUAAGGACACACAGUCCUCGCCCAACACUCGUGGUAAGUCUUCAGGGCAGACUUCCAAACCCUCACAAACUCGGUCACCCAGCGAUCCACAAUUGACUGCUGGAUUGCUCUAGACCAUGACGCCUAACCGUCUGGAGGAUGCACAGUCCUCAAAGGUAAAAGGCUUCAGUCCCACACAGGAACAACUUCUUCAGUGAUGCUCAAUCACUAGGUUUGGUUUGUGGUUUCGCUGUAUGGUGUAUUUCCUCACUGAUGAAUUACUCUUGAAGACUCUGAGGAAUUGGGUUGCUCUUAUGACAAGUGUUAGUUUCUAAUAGAGCAGCCAACCAGCUAAUGGUUGUGGGGGGUGGCUAUUUGUAGCCUGGGAGCAUCCCGACANNNNNNNNNNNNNNNNNNNNNNNNNNNNNNNNNNNNNNNNNNNNNNNNNNNNNNNNNNNNNNNNNNNNNNNNNNNNNNNNNNNNNNNNNNNNNNNNNNNNAGAAUAUGUAGGAUCCAAUAUGGGCNNCCAGGUCCCGCUAUUGGAUAUUGACCGAGGAGUGCCUCGGGUCAUGUCUACAUAGUUCUCGAACCCGCAGGGUCUGCACACUUAAUGUUCAAUGAUGUUUUAGUAUAGUUGAGUUAUAUGUGUGGUUACCGAAUGUUGUUCGGAGUCCCGGAUGAGAUCAAGAACGUCAUGAGGGUUUCCGGAAUGGUCCGGAAAUGAAGAUUGAUAUUUAUGAUGGUUUAAUUUGGUCACUGGAAAGUUUCGGGCAAUUCCGGCAGUGUACCGGAGUGACGAAUGGGUUCUAGGUGUUCACCGGGAGGGGCCCACCCACCCGGGAGUGAGCCCAAGGCCCUAGGGUGGCGCACCAAGUCCCUAGUGGGCUGAUGGAGUCAGCCCAAGAGGGCUAUGGCGGCACAUAAGAAAAUUCCAAAGGAAAAAUAAAAAUAAAAGGAAAGAGGAAGGUGGGAAGGAAGAGGAGGACUCCUCCUUCCCAAACCGAAUUGGAGGAGUAGUCCUCCUCCUCUUGGCGGCUGGCGCACCUUGAGGGCCUUGUCCCUCAAGGCUAGCCCCUCCCCCUCCCUCCUAUAUAUAGUGGUGGUUUAGGGCUUUUUGAGACACUACUUUGCCACGUGCAACUCUAGCCUAUUCCACAUACUUUUACCUCUAGAUCGGAUUUCCGCGGAGCUCGGGCGGAGCCCUGCAGGACUAGAUCAUGACCACCACCGGAGCGCCGUCACGCUACCGAAUAACUCAUCUACUUCUCCAUCUUGCUUGCUGGAUCAAGAAGUCCAAGAUCAUCGUCGAGCUGUACGUGUGCUGAACGCGGAGGUGCCGUCUGUUCGGUGCUAGAUCGGAACGGAUCGUGGGACGGAUCGCGGGACGGUUCCUGGGACGGUUCGAGGGACGUGAAGACGUUCCACUACAUCAACCGUGUUUCUUAAUGCUUCCCGUUGUGCGAUCUACAAGGGUACAUAGAUCUAAUCUCCACUCAUAGAUGGACAUCACCAUGAUAGGUCUUCGUGUGCGUAGGAAUUUUUUUGUUUCCCAUGCAACGUUCCCCAGCAAUGCCUUGCCUAGAGCUUCCCAAGUUGAGCAAUCAAAAUGCGAAUGAUUAAUUGAAUUGUAUAGUGUAAUCACAAAUAUGAAACCAUGUUUAGUCCUUAGGUGAGCUCUCUUUGUCUCCAUAUUCUCCAUUUCUUGGAAACCGAACUUCUGCAAGACAUACAAUCUUGCAUUGCACGGGAUGCACUAGCCGAAUUGUAAAGAAUAGAAAUUACACAUUGAAGUAAAGGAACACAAAAGUAAAGAAGAAAAAAUAGUGGUCAUCAUUGCGUACCGUAAAAACAUCAAAUGUCUUGUCAAGCUUAAUGGUGAAGAACAUGCCGUUUCACAAGUGAGGCUGUGCUACUGCAACAAAAGACCUUCCAACGGCGCCAGAAACGUGCUACAGCACCAGGAAUCCUUCUGCUACGGCUACGCCUUAAGGGACUUCCUAGGCAAAUAUGCAAAGGAUUUCCCCCGUGGCCUUGGAGCCUUGCGUUGGUGUUCCCUCGAAGCGGAAAGGGUGAUGUAGCGCAGCGGUGGUAAGUAUUUCCCUCAGUUUUGAGAACCAAGGUAUCGAUCCAGCGAAGGAGUAUCACAAGUGCCUGCACAAACACAAAGAACCUGCUCCCAACGCUAUGAAGCGGUUGUCAAUCCCUUAUAGAUUGUUUGCCAAGUGAUAACUGAAAGCAACAAAGUAACAAAGCAAAGUAAAAGCGAAGGUGUAAACGAUAGAUGUGAAUAUACCCGGUGGGCGUAGUGUUUACUAGUGGCUUCUCUCAUGAAAGCAAGUAGACGGUGGGUGAACAAAUUACUGUGGAGCAAUUGAUAGAACCGCGCAAAGUCGUGACAUCAUUUAUGGCAAUGAUUAUAUCUAUAGGCAUCACGUCCAAAACAAGUAGACCGAUACUUUCUGCAUCUACUACUAUUACUCCACACGUCGACCGCUAUCCAACAUGCAUCUAGUGUAUUAGGUCCAAAAGAACAGAGUAACGCCUUAAGCAAGAUGACAUGAUGUAGAUGGACAAUCUCAUAUCUACGACAGAGCCCACCUUGUUACCCUUGAUGGAAACUACACAAUGUGUGCCUUGCUGCCCCUACUGUCACUGGGAAAGGUCACCACACGGUAAGAACUCAAGACCAAGCACUUCUCCCAUUGCAAGAAUCAUAGAUCUAGUUGGCCAAACAAAACCCAAGACUCGGAGAGACUUACAAGGAUAUCAAAUCAUGCAUAUAAGAAAUCAGCAAAGACUCAAAUAUAUAUCAUAGAUAAUCUGAUCACAAAUCCACAAUUCAUCGGAUCUCGACAAACACACCGCCAAAGAAGAUUACAUCGGAUAGAUCUCCAUGAAGAUCAUGGAGAACUUUGUAUUGAAGAUCCAAGAGAGAGAAGAAGCGAUCUAGCUACUAACUACUGACCCAUAGGUCUGAAGUGAACUACUCACGAGUCAUUGGAGGGACGAUGAUGAUGAUGAAGAAGCCCUCCAACUACAAAGUCCCCUCCGGCAGGGCACCGGGAAGGGUCUCCAGAUGAGAUCUCGCGGAAACGGAAGCUUGCGGCGGCGGAAAAGUAUUUCCGUGGAUCCCUUGAUUUUUUUUCUGAUUUUUAGGGAAUAUAUAGGCGCAAGAUCUAGGUCAGGGGGGCGCCAGGGAGGCCACAAGCCUGCCCACCGCCGCCCCCCCUGGGUGGCGGAGUGGGGGCUUCUGGGCUCCCUGUAGCCCUCCUGGCUUGGCCACAGGCCCCCUGAUCUUCCUUCGUUUGGGAAAAAAUAAUUUUGGGGAUUUUAUUCCGUUUGGACUCCGUUCCAAAAUCAGAUCUGAAAAGAGCCAAAAACACAAAAAAACAGGAACUGGCACUUGGCACUGAAUUAAUAAGUUAGUACCAAAAAUGAUAUAAAAGGUACAUAAAACAUCCAAAGAUGACAAGAUAACAGCAUGAAUCCAUCAAAAAUUAUUGGUACGUUUGAGACUUAUCAAGCAUCCACAAGCUUAACUCCUGCUCGUCCUCGAGUAGGGAAGUGAUAAAGAAUGAAUUUUUGAUGCUUUCAUGCUACCUAGCAUAGGUGUCCUUUGUAAUUCCUCUUUUGUGACGUGAAUGUGCACAUCCAUUAGAUUUAAAACAAUAGUUUGCUAUUGACGUGGAAACAAUAAUAAUUCAAGCAAACUAGCAAAGUAAUCAUGAACUUUCAAAAUAACAAGGCCAAAAGAAAGUUAUCCCUACAAANNNNNNNNNNNNNNNNNNNNNNNNNNNNNNNNNNNNNNNNNNNNNNNNNNNNNNNNNNNNNNNNNNNNNNNNNNNNNNNNNNNNNNNNNNNNNNNNNNNNACUUUGAUGAGAUGAUCAAAGAUUUUGGGUUUGUACAAGGUUUAUGAGAAACUUGUAUUUCCAAAGAAGUGAAUGGGAGUACUAUAGAAUUUCUGAUAAGUAUAUGUGGUUUACAUAUUGUUGAUCAGAAGUAAUAUAGAAUUUCUGUGAAGCAUAAAAGGUUGUUUGAAAGGAGUUUUUCAAAGGAAUACCUGGAUUGGGCUACUUGAACGUUGAGCAUCAAGAUCUAUGGAGAUAGAUCGAAACGCUUAAUAGAAGUUUCAACAAGAUGCAUGCCUUGACAAGUUUUUGAAGGAGUUCAAAAUAGAUCAGCAAAGAAGGAGUUCUUGACUGUGUUGUAAGGUGUGAAUUUGAGUAAGACUCAAAACCCGACCACGGCAGAAGAAAGAGAAAGGACGAAGGUCGUCCCCUAUGCCUUAGCCGUAGACUCUACAGUAUGCCAUGCUAUGUACCGCACCUGAUGUGUGCCUUGCCACAAGUCUGUUAAGAGGUACAGAGAGUGAUCCAGGAUUGAAUCACUGAAUAGCGGUCAAAGUUAUCCUUAGUAACUAAUGGACUAAGGAAUUUUUCUCUAUUAUGGAGGUGGUUAAAGAGUUCGUCGUAAAGGGUUACGUCGAUGCAAGCUUUGACACUAAUCCGAAUAACUAUGAGUAGUGAGACGGAUUCUUAUAGUAGAGUAGAUAUUUGGAGUAUUUCCGAAUAGCACGUAGUAGCAGCAUCUAUAAGAUGACAUAAAGAUAUGUAAAGAACACACGGAUCUGAAAGUUUCAGAACCGUCGACUAAAACCUCUAUCACGAGCAAGACGUGAUCAGACCCCAGAACUAUAUGGGUGUUCGAUUCGUUGAAAUCACAUGGUGAUGUGAACUAGAUUAUUUACUCUAGUGCAAGUGGGAGACUGUUGGAAAUAUGUUCUAGAGGCAAUAAUAAAUUAGUUAUUAUUAUAUUUCUUUGUUCAUGAUAAUCGUUUAUUAUCCAUGCUAUAAUUGUAUUGAUUGGAAAGACAAUACUUGUGUGGAUACAUAGACAAAACACUGUCCCUAGUAAGCCUCUAGUUGACUAGCUCGUUGAUCAAAGAUGGUCAAGGUUUCCUGACCAUAGGCAAGUGUUGUCACUUGAUAACGGGAUCACAUCAUUAGGAGAAUCAUGUGAUGGACUAGACCUAUACUAAUGAACGUAGCAUGUUGAUCGUGUCAUUUUGUUGCUACUGUUUUUCUGCGUGUCAAGUAUUUAUUCCUAUGACCAUGAGAUCAUAUAACUCAGUGACACCGGAGGAAUGCCUUGUGUGCAUCAAACGUCGCAACGUAACUGGGUGACUAUAAAGGUGCUCUACAGGUAUCUCCGAAGGUGUCCGUUGAGUUAGUAUGGAUCAAGACUGGGAUUUGUCACUCCGUGUGACGGAGAGGAAUCUCGGGUCCCACUCGGUAAUACAAUAUCACACACAAGCCUUGCAAGCAAUGUGACUUAGUGUAAGUCACGGGAUCUUGUAUUACGGAACGAGUAAAGAGACUUGCCAGUAAACGAGAUUGAAAUAGGUAUGCGGAUACUGAGGAUGGAAUCUUGGGCAAGUAACAUACCGAAGGACAAAGGGAAUGACAUGCGGGAUUAUAUGAAUCCUUGGUACUGAGGUUCAAACGAUAAGAUCUUCGUAGAAUAUGUAGGAUCCUCUCCCUAUAGUNNNNNNNNNNNNNNNNNNNNNNNNNNNNNNNNNNNNNNNNNNNNNNNNNNNNNNNNNNNNNNNNNNNNNNNNNNNNNNNNNNNNNNNNNNNNNNNNNNNNACAAGUAUAUGAGUUCUUCAUGACUAAUGUUGAGUCCAUGGUUUAGAUGCACUUUCACCUUCCACCAUCACUAUCUUCUUAGUGUCGUGCAACUUUCGCCGGUGCACAAAACCCACCAUUAGCCUCCCUCAAAACAGCCACCAUACCUACCUACUAUGGCUUUUUCAAAGUCAUUCCGAGAUAUAUUACCAUGCAACUACCACCAUGACAUGUGCCACCAUGUCUACAUUGUCAUUGCAUGAUCGUAAGAUAGCUAGCAUGAUGUUUCCAUUAAUGUCUAUGCCAUGCUAGAUCAUUGUCACGGUACACUACCGAAGGCAUUCCAUAUAGAGUCAUCGUUGCUCUAAGUUUUGAGUUGAAAGUGUGAUGGUCAUCAUUGAUGGAGCAUUGUCCCAUGUGAGGAAAUAAAAGAGGCCAAAGAUACCCACCAAAAAAAAGAGGCCAAAGAGCCCACCAAAAAAAUGAGAGAAAAAAGAGAAGGGACAAUGCUACCACCUUUCCACACUUAUGCAUAUUAAGCACUAUGAUCUUCAUGAUUGAGAGUCUCUCGUUUUGUCACCAGCAUAUAGCUAGUGGGAAAUUCUCAUUAUAUAACUUGGCUUGUAUAUUCCAAUGAUAGGCUUCCUCAAAAUUGCCUUAGGUCUUCGUGAGCAAGCAAGUUGGAUGCACACCCACUAGUUUUCUUUAAGAGCUUUCACAUACUCUUAGCUCUAGUGCAUCAUUUGUAUGGCAAUCCCUACUCAUUCACAUUGAUAUCUAUUGAUGAGCAUCUCCACAGCUCAUUGAUAUACCUAGUUAAUGUGACCAUCUUCUCCUUGUUUGUCUUGCAACCUCCACCACUCUCCAUUCCACUCAUUGUGCUAAAACCAUGGCUCACGCUCAUGUAUUGCGUGAGGGUUGAAAAAGUUUGAGAAAGUAAAAGUGUGAAAAUGAUUACUUGGCCAAUACCGGGGUUGUGCAUGAUUUAAAUUCGUUGUGCAAGGAUGAUAGAGCAUAGCCAGACUAUAUGAUUUUGUAGGGAUAACUUUCUUUUGGCCUUGUUAUUUUGAAAGUUCAUGAUUACAUUGCUAGUUUGCUUGAAUUAUUAUUGUCUCCACGUCAAUAGAAAACUAUUGUUUUGAAUCUAAUGGAUCUGAACAUUCACGUCACAUAAGAGGAGUUACAAGGGACAUCUAUGCUAGGUAGCAUGAAAGCAUCAAAAAUUCAUUCUUUAUCAUAUCCCUUCUCGAAGACGAGCAGGAGUUAAGCUUGGGGAUGCUUGAUACGUCUCAGACGUAUCUAUAAUUUUUGAUGGUUUCAUGCUGUUAUCUUGUCAACUUUGGAUGUUUUAUAUACCUUUUAUAUCUUUUUUGGGACUAACUUAUUAAUUCAGGGCCAAGUGCCAGUUCCUGUUUUUUCUGUGUUUCUGACUCUUUUCAGAUCUGAUUUUGGAACGGAGUCCAAAUGGAAUAAAAUCCCCGAAAUAAAUUUUUUUAGAACGGAAGAAGAUCGGGAGGCUUGAGGGCCAAGGCACAGAGCCCACAGGGAGCCCACAAGCCGUGUAGCCGCCACCAGGGGGGCGGCGGCUACCAGGAUUGUGGCCUCCCUGGCGCUCCCCUGACCUAGCUCUUUGGCCUAUAAAUUCCGUAAAAUCCCAGAAAAAAUAAGGGCAUCCACGAAAACACUUAACUGCCGCCGCAAGCUUCCAUUUCUGCGAGAUCUCAUCUGGAGACCCUUCCCAGUGCCCUGCCGGAGGGGACUUUGGAGCUGGAGGGCUUCUUCAUGAACAUCACCGCCCCUCCAAUGACUCGUGAGUAGUUCACUUCAGACCUACGGGUCCGUAGUUAGUAGCUAGAUGGCUUCUUCUCUCUCUUGGAUCUUCAAUACAAAGUUCUCCAUGAUCUUCAUGGAGAUCUAUCCGAUGUAAUCCUCUUUGGAAGUGUGUUUGUCAAGAUCUGAUGAAUUGUGGAUUUGUGAUCAGAUUAUCUAUGAAUUAUAUUUGAGUCUUUGCUGAUUUCUUAUAUGCAUGAUUUGAUAUCCUUGUAAGUCUCUCCGAGUCUUGGGUUUUGUUUGGCCAACUAGAUCUAUGAUUCUUGCAAUGGGAGAAGUGCUUGGUUUUGGGUUCAUACCGUGUGGUGACCUUUCCAAGUGACAGAAGGGGCACCAAGGCACACAUCAUGUUGUUGCCAUCAAGGGUAACAAGAUGGGAUUUUAUCGUAGAUAUGAGAUUGUCCAUCUACAUCAUGUCAUCUUGCUUAAGGCGUUACUCUGUUCUCAUGAACUUAAUACACUAGAUGCAUGCUGGAUAGCGAUCGACGUGUGGAGUAAUAGUAGUAGAUGCAGAAAGUAUCAGUCUACUUGUUUUGCACGUGAUGCCUAUAGAUAUAAUCAUUGCCAUAGAUAACGUCACGACUUUGCGCGGUUCUAUCAAUUGCUCGACAGUAAUUCGUUCACCCACCGUCUACUUGCUUUCAUGAGAGAANNNNNNNNNNGCCCCCGGGUCUAUUCACAACUAUCGUUUCCAGUUUCACUUUUACUUUGCUUUGUUUUCUUUUUGCUUUUAGUUCUCACUUUGCAAAAAAUCUAUCAGGGAUUGACAACCCCUUCAUAGCGUUGGGUGCAAGCGCUUUGUGUUUGUGCAGGUACUUGUGACUUGAUGCAAUCUUUAACUGGAUCGAUACCUUGGUUCUCAAAAAUGAGGGAAAUACUUACCGCCGAUGUGCUACAUCACCCUUUCCGCUUCGAGGGAACACCAACGCAAGGCUCCAAGGUCACGGGGGGAUCCUUUGCAUAUUUGCCAAGGAAGUCCCUAAAGGCGUAGCCGUAGCAGAAGGAUUCCUGGUGCCGUUGCUGAGGAGUAUCAAGACAAGAAUAGUCUCCCAUCAACACGCUUGUUUCUGGCACUGUUGGAAGAUCUUUUGUUGCAGUAGCAUUAUGUAGUCUACGUUCACAUAACACCACUAAGGGAAUCACAACAUUUAUAUCAUCAAAAUAUCGAACAAAUAUUAACUUCACAUGACUACUUGCAACAUGACUUCUCCCGUGGCCUCAAGAACAAAAGUAGCUACUCACAAGUGAUAAACAUGCUCAUGAUCAGAGAAGUAUUAAAUAGCAUAUUGGAUCUGAACAUAUGAUUUUCCACCAAAUAAACCGUAAAGCAUCAACUAGAGGAUGUAAUCAACACUACCAGUCACCCCCUAGGUACCAAUCUAAGGUUCCGGUACAAGAUAGAGCACAAGUGAUGAAGUAUGGUUUUGAGAGGAGAUAGUGCUAUUGAAGAUGUUGAAGAAGAUUGGCCUCCCAGAGAUGAGAGGGUUGUUGGCGAUGACGAUGACCUCGAUUUCCCACUCCGGGAGGGAAGUUCCUCCGGCAGAAUCGCUCCGCCAGAGGGCAAAAGUGCUCCUCCCAAGUUCCACCUCGAGAAGGCAGUGCUCAAUCCCAAAAGUCCUCUCCUCAUUUUUUUCACGUCAAGAGUGAAUAUAUUACAGAAGAUGGUCACGAGAAGUGGGCUGGGUGGCCCACUACCCAUGAGGCCGCGCUAGGGGCUCUGGCGCGCCCUGGUGCUUAGUGGCCACCUGGCAGCCCCACUCUGGUACUUCCUUCCUCCAACAUUUCUUAUUUAUUACAUAAAAAAUCCUUGUGAAGUUUCAGCCCAUUUGGAGGUGUGCAGGAUAGGUAUCUCUCACGUAGCAUUUUUAGGUCAGAAUUCCAUUUGCGAGCAUUCUCCCUCUGGGUGUAAACCUUGCAUGUUAUGAGAGAAAAGGCAUUAGAAUUACUCCAUAAAGUGUUAUAAGUCAUAAAAUACUAUAAAUAACAAUAGCAAAACAUGAUGCAAAAUGGACGUAUCAAUGAUCGAUGCAUAGACUGAUCUAUCAACCUCCUUUGCUUGAGUGCGUGAGAAUCCAUCUCGAUCUCGAUGGGUAAAUAGCUUCUUUGGAUGGAAAAAGACAAACCUUUCGUACACUCACACAAUUCAGCUUUCAAUGCUUGUUGAUAGGAAAAAAGUUGCCUGCAUGAAGAAAAAAUGAUAGACCCAUUGUCACCUCUUAGUACCAUGCCGGCACCCGCUCAGCCAUCAUCAGCAUAAGAUGAGUCCAUAUGGCUCGCUACUUUGUAUUAGAGUGAAGUGGAUCACAUAUCCCCAAAUUGUUUUGAGUGUUAAUGUAUACUACAUGAUAACCCACAAGUGUAGGGGAUCGCAACAGUCUUCACGAGUAGUGUUACACCCUAAUUUAUUGAUUCGACACAAGGAAAGCGAAAUAAUAUUUAUUGAUCUUAGCAGUUGAGUUGACAAUUCAACCACACGUGGGAUUUCCUUCUACAACAAACAUUUAGUAGCAUGGUAAAAUAGUAUUAGUAAUAGUAACAGUAACAACAACAGUUUUGUAAUGAUGUAGAAGUACCAACAUCAAUAGUAACUUGGAAAGGAUCAAUAUAUCAAAAGCUUAGGCAUUUGGAUCGGUGAUGGAUGAGUAUAAUGGAUAACAUUCAUCAUGUAACAGUUACACACUAGAGCGACAUAGAACUAGCUCCAAUUCAUCGAUGUAAUGUAGGCAUGUAUUCUGUAUAUAGUCAUUCAUGCUUAUAGUAAGAACUUGCAUGACAUCUUUUGUCCUGUCCUCCCGUGGCAAUGGGAUCCAUAAGGAAACUAAGGGAUAUUAAGGCAUCCUUUUAAUAGUGAGCCGGAACAAAGCAUUAACACAGUGAAUACAUGAACUGCUCAAACUACGGUAAUCACCAGAAAGAAUCCCAAUUAUUGUCACCUUGUGGUAUGCGGAUCAUGACACAUAAUAGGUGCAUACAUACGGCAAGAUAUGAUCCAAAACACUCUCAUAUUCAUGGGAAUAUAAUAGGUUCAUAUCUGAAAUCAUGGCACUCAGGCCCUAGUGACAAGCAUUAAGCAUAGCAAAGUCAUAGCGGAGGUUCUACAACCCACGUUACUACUAUGUCAUAUUCUCCGGAGAAUUGAACUAGGCACCAAUUCGCCCCUCGGUCUCAUCCCAGCAUGGGUGGUGGUGGCGGCGACAAGAUCGAGGGGGAUAGUAGUUCCACCGAGGGGUGGGGUGAGGUUCACGAAGAGUUUGGUGGGGGUGGGAGUGGAUCAGGUGGUGGGUGGUGCGUCACUCGCUAGUAGUAGCAUGGGAUGUCUCACAUGCACUAUAGCUAUUCAACUAGUAAUAGCACAGUCUCUACAUUCCACAUUACUACUAUGUCAUAUCCCCCGGAGAUAUCUACGAGUAGCGCGUUUUUUUCGUCAUGCACUACCAAUAAUAUUUACUAGUAAAGAGGGGAUAAUACAACACGCUACUAGUAAUUGGCAGUAGCGUGGGUCAAUAUAACGCGCUACUAGUAAGCGUCUACCUAUAGGGUUUCCCCUAGNNNNNNNNNNNNNNNNNNNNNNNNNNNNNNNNNNNNNNNNNNNNNNNNNNNNNNNNNNNNNNNNNNNNNNNNNNNNNNNNNNNNNNNNNNNNNNNNNNNNAAUGAUGUCACGACUUUGCGCGGUUCUAUCAAUUGCUCCACAGUAAUUUGUUCACCCACCGUCUACUUGCUUUCAUGAGAGAAGCCACUAGUAAACACUACGCCCACCGGGUAUAUUCACAUCUAUCGUUUACACCUUCGCUUUUACUUUGCUUUGUUACUUUGUUGCUUUCAGUUAUCACUUGGCAAACAAUCUAUAAGGGAUUGACAACCGCUUCAUAGCGUUGGGAGCAGGUUCUUUGUGUUUGUGCAGGCACUUGUGAUACUCCUUCGCUGGAUCGAUACCUUGGUUCUCAAAACUGAGGGAAAUACUUACCACCGCUGCGCUACAUCACCCUUUACGCUUCGAGGGAACACCAACGCAAGGCUCCAAGGCAAUGGGGGAAAUCCUUUGCAUAUUUUCCUAGGAAGUCCCUUAAGGCGUAGCCGUAGCAGAAGGAUUCCUGGUGCCGUAGCACAUUUCUGGCGUCGUUGGAAGGUCUUUUGUUGCAGGAGCAGAAGUAUUUCUGGCGCCGUUGUCGCGGAAGGAGAGAUCUAUCCAAGUAGGUCUCACAAACUCAUCUCUUGCAUUUACUUUUUUGCCAGUUGCCUCUCGUUUUCCUCUCCCCCACUUCACAUUCACCGUUUUCAUUUGCCUCUCUCCUUUGCCGUUUUCUUUUGCCUUUUGCCUUUUUACCGUUUUCCUUUGCCGGUUUUCUUGCUUUCUUGUUUGCUUGUUUGUUUGUUGAAGUCAUCAUGGCUGAAAACACCAAACUUUGUGACUUCUCGAGCACUAAUAAUAACGAUUUUAUUAGUACACCGAUUGCUCCCGCCACUAGUGCGGAAUCGUAUGAAAUCAACGCAACAUUGCUGAAUCUUGUUAUGAAAGAGUAAUUCUCUGGCCUUCCUAGUGAAGAUGUCGCAUCCCAUCUCAAUACCUUCAUUGAGCUUUGCGAUAUGCAAAAGAAAAGAGAUGUGGAUAAUGACGUGAUUAAGUUGAUGCCUUUUUCCUUUCUCGUUGCGAGAUCGCGCAUACUUGGUUUUCUUCUUUGCCUAAAAAUAGUAUCGAUUCUUGGGAUAAGUGCAAAGAUGCUUAGAUAUCCAAGUAUUUUCCGUCGGCUAAGAUCAUCUCCUUACGUAACGAUAUCAUGAAUUUCAAGCAACUUGAUCAUGAACACGUUGCACAAUCUUGGGAGAGGAUGAAGCUUAUGAUUAGAAAUUGUCCCGCUCAUGGCUUGAGUUUGUGGAUGAUUAUACAAANNNNNNNNNNUACGCUGGCUUGAAUUUCGCUUCCCGCAAUAUCUUGGACGCCGCCUCAGGUGGAACGUUCAUGGAAAUCAUGUUAGGAGACGCUACCAAACUCCUAGACAAUAUCAUGACCAACUACUCUCAGUGGCACACUGAAAGGUCACUUGCUAGCAAAAAGGUACACGCUAUAGAAGAAAUUAACUCGCUUAGUGCUAAGAUGGACGAGUUGAUGAAUUUGGUUGCUAGUAGAAACGCUACCGUAGAUCCUAAUGACAUGCCACUAUCUUCCUUGAUUGAGAGUAGCAACGCUAGUUUGGCCUGAAUUUUGUUGGUAAGAACAAUUUUGGCAACAACAAUGCUUUUAGAGGAAACUAUGUUCCUAGGCCUUUUCCUAGUAACUCCUCUAACAAUUAUGGCAAUUCUUACAACAACACUUAUGGAAAUCACAACAAAUUACCCUCUGAUUUAGAGAGUAAUAUCAAAGAGUUCAUCAACUCUCAAAAGAUUUUCAAUGCGUCCAUAGAGGAAAAACUACUCAAAAUAGACGAUUUGGCUAAGAGCGUUGAUAUGAUGUCUUGUGAUAUUGAUUCUUUGAAAGUUAGAUGCGCUCCUCCCAAGGUCAACUUGUAUGAAACUUUGAAAGCUAUGCGCGUCUCCAUGAAUGACAGCAAAGAAAGAACCGCCCAAAUUCGCGCUAGACAUGAAUGGUUUAAAAGGGUGCGUUCUAGUGAUGCAAAUCACGAAGAUCUUAAAGUGCUUGGUGUGUCUCCUCUUAAAUCUUUGUUUUCAUGUGUCAAACCUAUUGAUGAAGGGGUUGGAUAUGAAUCCACUGUUGGGGAACGUCGCAUGGGAAACAAAAAUUUUCCUACGCGCACGAAGACCUAUCAUGGUGAUGUCCAUCUACGAGAGGGGAUGAGUGAUCUACGUACCCUUGUAGAUUGUACAGCAGAAGCAUUAGAGAACGCGGUUGAUGUAGUGGAACGUCCUCACGUCCCUCGAUCCGCCCUGCGAACAAUCCCGCGAUCAGUCCCACGAUCUAGUGCCGAACGGACGGCACCUCCGCGUUCAGCACACGUACAGCUCGACGAUGAUCUCGGCCUUCUUGAUCCAGCAAGAGAGACGGAGAAGUAGAAGAGUUCUCCGGCAGCGUGACGGCGCUCCGGAGGUUGGUGGUGAUCUUGUCUCAGUAGGGCUCCGCCCGAGCUCCGUGGAAACGUGAUCUAGAGGAAAAACUAUGGAGGUAUGUGGUCGGGCAGCCGUGAGAAAGUCGUCUCAAAUCUGCCCUAAAAGCCCCAUAUAUAUAGGAGGAGGGAGGGGGACCUUGCCUUGGGGUCCAAGGGAUCCCCAAGGGGUCGGCCGAGCCAGGGGGGAGGACUCUCCCCCCCCCCCAAAUCGAGUCCUACUUGGUUUGGUGGGAGGGAGUCCUUCCCCCUUCCCACUUCUUCCCUUUUUUUUUUCUUCUUCCCUUUGAUUUUUCUAUCUUGGCGCAUAGGGGAUUGGUGGGCUGUCCCACCAGCCCACAAAGGGCUGGUGUGACCCCCCCAAAUACCUAUGGGCUUCCCCGGAGUGGGUUGCCCCCCUCCGGUGAACUCCCGGAACCCAUUCAUCAUUCCCGGUACAUUCCCGGUAACUCCGAAAACCUUACGAUAAUCAAAUGAGGUCAUCCUAUAUAUCAAUUUUCGUUUCCGGACCAUUCCGGAAACCCUCGUGACGUCCGUGAUCUCAUCCGGGACUCCGAACAACAUUCGGUAACCAACCAUAUAACUCAAAUACGCAUAAAACAACGUCGAACCUUAAGUGUGCAGACCCUGCGGGUUUGAGAACUAUGUAGACAUGACCCGAGAGACUCCNNNNNNNNNNNNNNNNNNNNNNNNNNNNNNNNNNNNNNNNNNNNNNNNNNNNNNNNNNNNNNNNNNNNNNNNNNNNNNNNNNNNNNNNNNNNNNNNNNNNUUCGUGCGCGUAGGAAAAUUUUUGUUUCCCAUGCGACGUUCCCCAACAGUGGCAUCAUGAGCUAGGUUCAUGCGUAGAUGUCUUCUCGAGUAGAACACAAAAGGUUUUGUGGGCGUUGAUGUGCGUUUUGCUGCCCUCCUUAGUCUUUUCUUGAUUCCGCGGUAUUGUUGGAUUGAAGCGGCUUGGACCGACAUUACUCGUACGCUUACGAGAGACUGGUUUCAUCGUUACGAGUAACCCCCUUUGCUCAAAGAUGACUGGCAAGUGACGGUUUCUCCAACUUUAGUUGAAUCGGAUUUGACCGAGGAGGUCCUUGGAUGAGGUUAAAUAGCAACNNNNNNNNNNNNNNNNNNNNNNNNNNNNNNNNNNNNNNNNNNNNNNNNNNNNNNNNNNNNNNNNNNNNNNNNNNNNNNNNNNNNNNNNNNNNNNNNNNNNNNNNNNNNNNNNNNNNNNNNUGUGGUGUUUGCGUAAGUAAAAUGCGAUCCUACUAGAUACCCUUGGUCACCACGUAAAACAUGCAACAACAAAAUUAGAGGACGUCUAACAUGUUUUUGCAGGGUAUGAUUGUGAUGUGAUAUGGCCAAUGAUGUGAUGUGAUAUAUUGGAUGUAUGAGAUGAUCAUGUUGUAAUAGAAAUAUCGACUUGCACGUCGAUGGUACGGCAACCGGCAGGAGCCAUAGGGNNNNNNNNNNNNNNNNNNNNNNNNNNNNNNNNNNNNNNNNNNNNNNNNNNNNNNNNNNNNNNNNNNNNNNNNNNNNNNNNNNNNNNNNNNNNNNNNNNNNCCCUCCCUUCCCACUUCCUCCCUCUUUUUUUCUUUUCCUUUGAUUUCUUUUUCUUGGCGCAUAGGCCCCCUUGGGGCUGUCCCACCAGCCCACUAAGGGCUGGUGUGUCUCCCCAAAGCCUAUGGGCUUCCCCGGGGUGGGUUGCCCCCCCGGUGAACUCCCGGAACCCAUUCGUCAUUCCCGGUACAUUCCCGGUAACUCCGAAAACCUUCCGGUAAUCAAAUGAGGUCAUCCUAUAUAUCAAUCUUCGUUUCCGGACCAUUCCGGAAACCCUCGUGACGUCCGUGAUCUCAUCCGGGACUCCGAACAACAUUCGGUAACCAACCAUAUAACUCAAAUACGCAUAAAACAACGUCGAACCUUAAGUGUGCAGACCCUGCGGGUUCGAGAACUAUGUAGACAUGACCCGAGAGACUCCUCGGUCAAUAUCCAAUAGCGGAACCUGGAUGCCCAUAUUGGAUCCUACAUAUUCUACGAAGAUCUUAUCGUUUGAACCUCAGUGCCAAGGAUUCGUAUAAUCCCGUACGUCAUUCCCUUUGUCCUUCGGUAUGUUACUUGCCCGAGAUUCGAUCGUCAGUAUCCGCAUACCUAUUUCAAUCCCGUUUACCGGCAAGUCUCUUUACUCCUUCUGUAAUACAAGAUCCCGCAACUUACACUAAGUUACAUUGCUUGCAAGGCUUGUGUGUGAUGUUGUAUUACCGAGUGGGCCCCGAGAUACCUCUCCGUCACACGGAGUGACAAAUCCCAGUCUUCAUCCAUACUAACUCAACUAACACCUUCGGAGAUACCUGUAGAGCAUCUUUAUAGUCACCCAGUUACGUUGCGACGUUUGAUACACACAAAGCAUUCCUCCGGUGUCAGUGAGUUAUAUGAUCUCAUGGUCAUAGGAAUAAAUACUUGACACGCAGAAAACAGUAGCAACAAAAUGACACGAUCAACAUGCUACGUCUAUUAGUUUGGGUCUAGUCCAUCACGUGAUUCUCCCAAUGACGUGAUCCAGUUAUCAAGCAACAACACCUUGUUCAUAAUCAGAAGACACUGACUAUCAUUGAUCAACUGGCUAGCCAACUAGAGGCAUGCUAGGGACGGUGUUUUGUCUAUGUAUCCACACAUGUAAAUGAGUCUUCAUUCAAUACAAUUAUAGCAUGGAUAAUAAACUAUUAUCUUGAUACAGGAAUUAUAAUAAUAACUAUACAUUUAUUAUUGCCUCUAGGGCAUAAUUCCAACAUCCACUUUGGUUGAAAAACGCCCCAAUGAUUCGGAGUCCACCUAUCUUGAUGAUAAAGGUGUGGAGAGUGGAGUAGAAGAAAUCAAAAUUUUGGGUAGUAAUGAAACUCCCACUUUGGAUUUCAAGGAAUUCAAUUAUGAUAAUAGCUCCUUGUUUGAAUGCAUUUCUUUGAUGCAAUCCAUUGCAAACUCUCCACAUGCUUAUAGCCAAAGCAAAUCCUUUACCGCGCAUAUCAUAGAUGCUAUGAUGAAAUCUCUUCAAGAGAAGCUCGAAUUAGAAGUCUCUAUACCUAGAAAACUUCAUGAUGAGUAGGAACCUACUAUCAAAAUCAAGAUAAAAAACUAUCAGUGCAAUGCUUUGUGUGAUUUGGGUGCUAGUGUUUCCGCGAUUCCAAAGUCUUCAUGUGAUAUUCUUGGUUUUCAUGAUAUUGAAGAGUGUUCUCUUAAUUUGCAUCUUGCGGAUUCUACUGUCAAGAAACCCAUGGGAAGGAUCGAUGAUGUUCUAUUGUUGCAAAUAAGAACUAUGUACCCGUGGAUUUCAUUGUACUUGACAUAGAUUGCAAUCCUUAAUGUCCCAUUAUUCUUGGUAGACCUUUCCUAAGGACUAUUGGUGCUAUCAUCGAUAUGAAGGAAGGGAAUAUUAGAUUUCAAUCCUUUAAAGAAGGGCAUGGAACACUUUCCUAGAAAGAAAAUAAGAUUGCCUUAUGAAUCUAUGGUGAGGGCUACUUAUGGUUUGAGCACCAAAGAUGACUAUACGUGAUUCCAUCACCUUUUGCCUAGCUAAGGGCGUUAAACAAAAGCGCUUGUUGGGAGGAAACCCAACGAAUCUAUCCUUUUUCUUUCUAUUUUGUGUUUUCCACACUUUCAUAAUUCUGUUAUUAUUGUGUUUUUUGUGUUUCUUUUUGCGUUUGUGCCAAGCAAACAUUAUGAUUAGUCUUGGGGAUGAUUGUUUGAUCAUGCUCGAAAAGACAGAAACUUUCUGCUCACGAAAAGAAUUUUCAUUUUUUUAUGUAAGAGAUUUUGAGUUGAUUCUUUUUGCUGCUGAUUUCUACGCAAAUUAUUCAGACUGUCGUAAUUUUUCAGAAUUUUUGAAGUACCAGAAGUAUACGAAAUAUACAGAUUGCUACAGACUGGUCUGCUGUUAACAGAUUCUGUUUUUGUUGUGUUGGUUACUUAUUUUGAUGAAACUAUGGAUAGUAUCGGGGGGUAUUAGCCAUGGAAGAUUGAAAAUACAGUAACUCAACAUCAGCAUAAGUAGAAUUUAAAUUUGCUACAGUACCUAAGGAAGUGGUGGUUUGCUUUCUUAUACUAAUGUUAUCGCGAGUUUCUGUUUAAGUUUCGUGUUGUGAAGUUUUCAAGUUUUGGGUGAAGUUCUUAUGGACAAAAAGAUAAAGAGUGGCAAGAGCUCAAGCUUGGGGAUGCCCAAGGCACCCCAAGAGAUUCAAGGAUGUCGUAAAAGCCUAAGCUUCGGGAUGCCCUGGGAAGGCAUCCCCUCUCUCGUCUUCAAUCCAUCGGUAAUGUUACCUGGGGCUAUAUUUUUAUUCACCACAUGUUAUGUGAUUUUGCUUGGAGCGUCUUGUAUCGUAGGAGUCUCUUAUUUUUUUGUGUCACAAUCAUCCUUGCUGCACACCUAGAGAGAGAGACAUGCACUCACCGUGAUUUUGUUGAGCUUCACUUAUAUCUUUUGGUAGACAAUUCAGCUCACAUGUGCUUCACUUAUAUCUUUUGAGCUAGAUACUUUUGCUCUAUGUGCUUCACUUAUAGAGCACAGCGGUGCGUGGCUUGGUAGUUGAUCUAUGCUUUGAAAGUAGUCUCAAAAGGGGUAGUUAUCCAAAGGAAUACGAAAACUUCCACCUUCAUGUGCAUUGAAUAGUUAGAGAAGUUUGAUUCAUCUCAAUUAGUUUUGAGUUGUGGUUUUGGUAAUAUUGAAGUUAUGCUAGUAAGGUGUUGUGGAUCUAGAAAUACUUGUGUUUAAGUUAGUGAUUCCCGUAGCAUGCACGUAUGGUGAACUGCUAUGUGAUGAAGUCUGAGCAUGAUUAGUCUUUUGAUUGUCAUUCUUUGUGUGGCGGUCGGGGUCGCGCGAUGGUUUAUACCUACCAACCCUUCCCCUAGGAGUAUGCGUUGAAUGCUUUGUUUCGAUUACUAAUAAAACUUUUGCAACAAGUAUAUGAGUUCUUCAUGACUAAUGUUGAGUCCAUGGUUUAGAUGCACUUUCACCUUCCACCAUCACUAUCUUCUUAGUGUCGUGCAACUUUCGCCGGUGCACAAAACCCACCAUUAGCCUCCCUCAAAACAGCCACCAUACCUACCUACUAUGGCUUUUUCAAAGUCAUUCCGAGAUAUAUUACCAUGCAACUACCACCAUGACAUGUGCCACCAUGUCUACAUUGUCAUUGCAUGAUCGUAAGAUAGCUAGCAUGAUGUUUCCAUUAAUGUCUAUGCCAUGCUAGAUCAUUGUCACGGUACACUACCGAAGGCAUUCCAUAUAGAGUCAUCGUUGCUCUAAGUUUUGAGUUGAAAGUGUGAUGGUCAUCAUUGAUGGAGCAUUGUCCCAUGUGAGGAAAUAAAAGAGGCCAAAGAUACCCACCAAAAAAAAGAGGCCAAAGAGCCCACCAAAAAAAUGAGAGAAAAAAGAGAAGGGACAAUGCUACCACCUUUCCACACUUAUGCAUAUUAAGCACUAUGAUCUUCAUGAUUGAGAGUCUCUCGUUUUGUCACCAGCAUAUAGCUAGUGGGAAAUUCUCAUUAUAUAACUUGGCUUGUAUAUUCCAAUGAUAGGCUUCCUCAAAAUUGCCUUAGGUCUUCGUGAGCAAGCAAGUUGGAUGCACACCCACUAGUUUUCUUUAAGAGCUUUCACAUACUCUUAGCUCUAGUGCAUCAUUUGUAUGGCAAUCCCUACUCAUUCACAUUGAUAUCUAUUGAUGAGCAUCUCCACAUCUCAUUGAUAUGCCUAGUUAAUGUGACCAUCUUCUCCUUAUUUUGUCUUGCAACCUCCACCACACUCCACACCGCUUAUAGUGCUAAAACCAUGGCUCACGCUCAUGUAUUGCGUGAGAGUUGAAAAGGUUUGAGAAAGUAAAGGUGUGAAACAAUUAAUUGGCCAAUACCGUGGUUGUGCAUGAUUUAAAUUCAUUGUGCAAUGAUGAUAGAGCAUAGCCAGACUAUAUGCUUUUGUAGGGAUAACUUUCUUUUGGCCUUGUUAUUUUGAAAGUUCAUGAUUACCUUGCUAGUUUGCUUGAAUUAUUAUUGUUUCCACGUCAAUAGCAAACUAUUGUUUUGAAUCUAAUGGAUCUGAACAUUCACGUCACAUAAGAGGAGUUACAAAGGACAUCUAUGCUAGGUAGCAUGAAAGCAUCAAAAAUUCAUUCUUUAUCACUUCCCUACUCGAGGACGAGCAGGAGUUAAGCUUGUGGAUGCUUGAUAAGUCUCAAACGUACCAAUAAUUUUUGAUGGAUUCAUGCUGUUAUCUUGUCAUCUUUGGAUGUUUUAUGUACCUUUUAUAUCAUUUUUGGUACUAACUUAUUAAUUCAGUGCCAAGUGCCAGUUCCUGUUUUUUUGUGUUUUUGGCUCUUUUCAGAUCUGAUUUUGGAACGGAGUCCAAACGGAAUAAAAUCCCCAAAAUUAUUUUUUCCCAAACGAAGGAAGAUCAGGGGGGCCUGUGGCCAAGCCAGGAGGGCUACAGGGAGCCCAGAAGCCCCCACUCCGCCACCCAGGGGGGGCGGCGGUGGGCAGGCUUGUGGCCUCCCUGGCGCCCCCCUGACCUAGAUCUUGCGCCUAUAUAUUCCCUAAAAAUCAGAAAAAAAAUCAAGGGAUCCACGGAAAUACUUUUCCGCCGCCGCAAGCUUCCGUUUCCGCGAGAUCUCAUCUGGAGACCCUUCCCGGUGCCCUGCCGGAGGGGACUUUGUAGUUGGAGGGCUUCUUCAUCAUCAUCAUCGUCCCUCCAAUGACUCGUGAGUAGUUCACUUCAGACCUAUGGGUCAGUAGUUAGUAGCUAGAUCGCUUCUUCUCUCUCUUGGAUCUUCAAUACAAAGUUCUCCAUGAUCUUCAUGGAGAUCUAUCCGAUGUAAUCUUCUUUGGCGGUGUGUUUGUCGAGAUCCGAUGAAUUGUGGAUUUGUGAUCAGAUUAUCUAUGAUAUAUAUUUGAGUCUUUGCUGAUUUCUUAUAUGCAUGAUUUGAUAUCCUUGUAAGUCUCUCCGAGUCUUGGGUUUUGUUUGGCCAACUAGAUCUAUGAUUCUUGCAAUGGGAGAAGUGCUUGGUCUUGAGUUCUUACCGUGUGGUGACCUUUCCCAGUGACAGUAGGGGCAGCAAGGCACACAGUUGUGUAGUUUCCAUCAAGGGUAACAAGGUGGGCUCUGUCGUAGAUAUGAGAUUGUCCAUCUACAUCAUGUCAUCUUGCUUAAGGCGUUACUCUGUUCUUUUGGACCUAAUACACUAGAUGCAUGUUGGAUAGCGGUCGACGUGUGGAGUAAUAGUAGUAGAUGCAGAAAGUAUCGGUCUACUUGUUUUGGACGUGAUGCCUAUAGAUAUAAUCAUUGCCAUAAAUGAUGUCACGACUUUGCGCGGUUCUAUCAAUUGCUCCACAGUAAUUUGUUCACCCACCGUCUACUUGCUUUCAUGAGAGAAGCCACUAGUAAACACUACGCCCACCGGGUAUAUUCACAUCUAUCGUUUACACCUUCGCUUUUACUUUGCUUUGUUACUUUGUUGCUUUCAGUUAUCACUUGGCAAACAAUCUAUAAGGGAUUGACAACCGCUUCAUAGCGUUGGGAGCAGGUUCUUUGUGUUUGUGCAGGCACUUGUGAUACUCCUUCGCUGGAUCGAUACCUUGGUUCUCAAAACUGAGGGAAAUACUUACCACCGCUGCGCUACAUCACCCUUUCCGCUUCGAGGGAACACCAACGCAAGGCUCCAAGGCCACGGGGGAAAUCCUUUGCAUAUUUGCCUAGGAAGUCCCUUAAGGCGUAGCCGUAGCAGAAGGAUUCCUGGUGCUGUAGCACGUUUCUGGCGCCGUUGGAAGGUCUUUUGUUGCAGUAGCACAGCCUCACUUGUGAAACGGCAUGUUCUUCACCAUUAAGCUUGACAAGACAUUUGAUGUUUUUACGGUACGCAAUGAUGACCACUAUUUUUUCUUCUUUACUUUUGUGUUCCUUUACUUCAAUGUGUAAUUUCUAUUCUUUACAAUUCGGCUAGUGCAUCCCGUGCAAUGCAAGAUUGUAUGUCUUGCAGAAGUUCGGUUUCCAAGAAAUGGAGAAUAUGGAGACAAAGAGAGCUCACCUAAGGACUAAACAUGGUUUCAUAUUUGUGAUUACACUAUACAAUUCAAUUAAUCAUUCGCAUUUUGAUUGCUCAACUUGGGAAGCUCUAGGCAAGGCAUUGCUGGGGAACGUUGCAUGGGAAACAAAAUAUUUCCUACGCACACGAAGACCUACCAUGGUGAUGUCCAUCUACGAGAGGAGAUUUGGAUCUACGUACCCUUGUAGAUUGCACAACAGGAAGCGUUUAAGAAACGCGGUUGAUGUAGUGGAACGUCUUCACGUCCCUCGAUACGCCCCACGAACCGUCCCACAAACCAUCCCGCGAUCCAAUCCGAUCUAGUGCCGAACGGACGACACCUCCACGUUCAGCACACGUACAACUCGACGAUGAUAUCGGCCUUCUUGAUCCAGCAAGAAAGACAGAGAAGUAGAUGAGUUCUCCAGCAGCAUGAUGGCGCUCCAGUGGUGGUGAUGAUCUACUCCCGUAGGGCUCCGCCCGAGCUCCGCAGAAAUCCGAUCUAGAGGUGGAACUAUGUGGUUUAGGGUUGAGUUGCACGUGGCAAAAGUUGUCUCAAAUCAGCCCUAAAAGACCAAUAUAUAUAGGAGGGAGGGGGAGGGGCUUGCCUUGAGUGCCAAGCCCUCAAGGGUGCGCCGACGCUAGGGGAGGAGGUGGACUCCACCCCAAUUCGGUUUGGGGGAAAGAGUCCACUCCUUCCUUCCCACCUCCCCUUUUUCCUUUUUCCUUUUCUUUUCUUUUGGUAUUUCUUUAUGUGGUGCCAUGGGCCCCUUGGGCUGAUUCCACCAGCCCACUAGGGAUUUGUGGCGCCACCCCAUGGCCUUGGGCUCACUCCCGGGUGGGUGGGCCCCUCCCGGUGAACUCCCGGAACCCAUUCGUCACUCCCGGUACACUGCCGGAAUUGCCCAAAACUUCCCGGUAACCAAAUGAAACCAUCUUAUAUAUCAAUCUUCGUUUCCGGACCAUUCCGGAAACCCUCAUGACGUCUGUGAUCUCAUCCGGGACUCCUAACAACAUUUGGUAACCACACAUAUAAUUCAACUAUACCAAAACAUCACCGAACCUUAAGUGUGUAGACCCUGCGGGUUCGAGAACUAUGUAGACAUGCCCCGAGGCACUCCUCGGUCAAUAUCCAAUAACGGAACCUGGAUGCCCAUAUUGGAUCCUACAUAUUCUACGAAGAUCUUAUCGGUUAAACCUCAGUGUCAAGGAUUCAUAUAAUCCCGUAUGUCAUUCCCUUUGUCCUUCGGUAUGUUACUUGCUCGAGAUUCGAUCGUCGGUAUCGACAUACCUAUUUCAAUCUCGUUCCGACAAGUCUCUUUACUCAUUCCAUAAUACAAGAUCAUGUGACUUACACUUAGUCACAUUGCUUGCAAGGCUUGUGUUUGAUGUUGUAUUACCGAGUGGGUCCCGAGAUACCUCUCCGUCACACGGAGUGACAAAUCACAGUCUUGAUCCAUACUAACUCAACGGACACCUUCGGAGAUACCUGUAGAACACCUUUAUAGUCACCCAGUUACGUUGUGACGUUUAUGCACACAAGGUAUUCCUCCGGUGCUAGUGAGUUAUAUGAUCUCAUGGUCAUAGGAAUAAAUACUUGACACGCAGAAAAAAAUAGCAAUAAAAUAACACGAUCAAUAUGCUACGUUCAUAGUUUGGGUCUAGUCCAUCACAUGAUUCUCUUAAUGAUGUGAUCCAGUUAUCAAGCAACAACACUUUGCACAUAGUCAGAAAACCUUGACUAUCCUUGAUCAACUGGCUAGCCAACUAGAUUGUUUUGUCUAUGUAUCCACACAUGUAUCUAUAUUUUCAUUCAAUACAAUUAUAGCAUGGAUAAUAAACGGUUAUCUUUAAACAUGAAAUAUAGUAAUAACUAUUUAUCAUCGCCUCUAGGGCAUAUUUCCAACAUGCAUAUGGAUUUUAGGAGGAUAUGGAAAUAACCUUCGAUAUUUGUCCUAAAGAUGAUAUUGAAGGUAAUAUCGACAUUUGGGUGGAUGUCGAUAUGCUUCCAAUUUUACCUCAGUGUGAGUUUGACAACCAUUUUGUUAAGUGAUUUGCAUUGUUUACUUAAAAAUAGUUGGUGUUCGUCCCUACUUAACUUGUUUACUUUUAAUUUACAAUUUAUUUAUCUUCUUAAAAAAACUCAAAAGACAUUAGACUAGACUUACUACAGUCAUGGCGCCGAUCUAACUUGGUUGGAGAAAACCCAUGUGAUCUCAUUUAUUGAUGAUGUUGAUGAUUAUAACAACAAUUAUGAAGAUAUUGGUAAAAAAUAUUCCGAAUACGUGCCACUAGUGCACGAGUUGAACCCUAAUAAUUUCCAUGUAGAUAGCAUGGUAAGAUUAGUUUUUUACUAUUGUGUCAUUAAUUAGUCCAUCUUUUGCAUGCAUAAUUUUUUAAGCAAAACUAUAUUGCUAACUAUGUUAUUAUUAUGUUCUUCAACAGAAAUUCCCGCCAGAGGUUGUGCCUGGUCUGAUGACUAUAGAAGGUCAUCAUUUGAAUGUUAUGAUCUUAUGGCCACGUGGCCUAUAUGUUUCCGCAAUGCAUAUUCGCUUUCUAGAAGAGAUGGGAGCCUGAAACUUAAAGGAUUUAACAAUUUAGUGAAAAGCCGUCGACAACUACUUGGCGGAGACGUGAACGAUUUGCACAUGCCACAUGUCGGAGAUAGGUGGAUCUCUAUUCUUCACAAUGGAGAGAGUGGAACUUACCCUUUUUAUGCUAUUUUACCCAGUAGAGGGUAGUAGGUUCUAACUAGGAGAGAAUAAUAUGUGCUAACCAAGGGAGAUGACCUUUUUUAGUUUAUGAUUAUUAGGAUGUUUUUAUGUUUUAUGACAUUUUAACUUGGUAUGAUUAAGAUGAUAAUGAGUUGCUAGAUGAUUAAGAGGAUGAUAAGUGCUUAUAUGAUUAAGAGGAUGAUGAGUGCUUAUAUGAUUAAGACGAUGAUGACUUGUUAGAUGAUUAAGAUGAUGAUAAGUUAUAUGACAAAAACUAGAUUAAAGUGGAUGGAUGCAAGUGACCAAGUUGAAUUAGAGGAAAAUAUUAUGUUGCAAUUUGUAACAUCAUAUUUUCUCUCUAACCGAACUUGAUCACUUGCACCCAUCCACUUUUAUCUAAAUGUUGUUUUUUGAAAAAUUAUUGUUGUUGUUGUAUAUUAAUAUGUAUAACCAUGUGAAAAUGCAAAAAAAUAAAUUUGCGGGAUUAGUAGUGGCACGGGUUAAAAAACAACGCUACUGGUAAAGACACAUAUCAGUAGCACAUGGUGGUUCGCAGCGCUACUGAUAUGUGACUUCACGAGUAGUGUUGGUCAUGAAGCGCGCUAUUGCUAAAAAUUAGCUAUAGCAUCAUAGCAGUAGUGCGCCUGCGGGCGCUAUUGGUAGCUAAAUACCGCGCGCUACUAGUAGGGUUUUCCCUAGUAGUGGGGUAAAAAAUGGAGAAGAUAGUCUCACAUCAACUAGACGUACCAACGGGCUAUGAGAUUCCUGUCGAUGGAUAUCGAUGCAAGGAGUAGGGAUUGCCAUGCAAAUGAUGCACUAGAGCUAUAAGUGUAUGAAAGAUCUCUGAAGCUAAGUGGGGUGUGCAUCCAACUUGCUUGCUCAUGAAGACCUCGAGCAUUUGAGGAAGCCUGUCAUCAGAAUAUACAAGCCAAGUUUAUGAAAAAGUGACUCCCACUAGCAUAUGAAUGAUAUAACAUGAGACUCUCUAUAUGAGGAACAAGGUGCCACUUUGAGACACAAGUGUGGUAAAGGAUAGUAGCAAAGUACCUUCUCUCUUUUUCUCCCAUUUUUAUUUCCUAAGUGGGACAAUGCUCUAAUAAUGAUGAUCAUCAUCCUUUUAUUUACUUACAAGUCAAUAUGAACACUGGUAGGACGAUAUGAGUCCGUGUGAAUGCCUCUGACAGUGUACCAGGAUGUGCAAAGAUCUAGCAUAACAUGUAUAAAAAUAUGAUGAAAUGUGGCUUUGCUACAAAUACUAUGUCAUCUCUAUAUGAUCAUGCAAAGCAUUAUGAUGAUGAAUGAACUAGUCAUAUGAAGUGACGAUGGAAUUUGCGUGGCAAUAUAUCUCGAAAUGGCUAUGGAAAUGCCAUGAUAGGUAGGUAUGGUGGCUGUUUUGAGGAGGAUAUAAGAAGGCUUAUGUGCAAUAGAGUGUGUCAUGUCACAGGGUUUGGAUGCACCAGCGAAAGUUGCACCGAUCCUCGAGGUAAGAACGGGUGAUGCACGGUACCGAAGAGGCUAGCAAAUAUGAGGAGUUGCGAUUGUGUAUGUCCAUGGUGUCACAUUAGUCAUGAAGAACUCAUGCACUUAUUGCAAAAUUUUAUUAGUUUUAUCACAAAUCAAAGUACUACUUGCAUGCCACGAGGGAGAGGGUUGGUAGGAAUUAACCAUGGCGAGACUCCGACUCAAAACAACACUAGGAUUUCAAUGAGGAAUAGAAAUGCUCACAUAUCAUCACCAUGCCCUUUUAAUAUUUAGAUGAACAAGAAGUUUAACAUCUCUUAAUAUUGACACCUCUCUGAAUUAAUAGUGAUGCACUCACACCUUUUUCAUAUCACCACAUCAAUAUCAUUAACCCAUAAUUUCUCUAUAUGUGCUACAUGAUGGUUCUAAUUAUCACUCAUUGAACACCCAUUACUUUUGAUCUAGUAUUAUGGCCCAUGCAAAUUAACGCCACUAUUUAUUUAACUCUAAAACAAAUAUAGGUGAAGAACAAGAGCAUAAUAUUUCUAUAAAAUCUACACGCCAUUGUGCUCAAAAAUAUAUAAGUGAAGUAAUAGAGCAACUGCUACGCUCAAAAGAUAUAAGUGAAGCACAUAGAGUAUUCUAAUAAAUUAUGAUGAGGGUGUAUUUCUCUCAAAUAGGUGUGUACAACAAAGAAUGAUUGUGUGAAACAUAAAAUAAAAGCAAACAAAAUCAAAUUAUGCUCCAAGCAAAACUCAUAUCAUGUGAUGAAUAAAAAUGUAGCUCCAAGUGACAUACCGAUGGAUUGAGACUAAAGAGGGGAUGCCUUCCGGUGCAUCCUCAAGCUUAGACGCUUGAGUAUUCCUAGAAUAUUACCUCGGGGUUCCUUAGGAAUCCCCAAGCUUAGGCUUUUGCUGCUCCUCAUUCCUUUGUCCAUCGGGAUAAUACCCAAAACUUGAAAACUUCAAUCACGAAAAACUCAACAAAACUUCGUGAGAUCCGUUAGUAUAAGCAACAUAUCAAAUACUUUCAGGUAUUGUUAUAAGUUGAUUCUUAUUUUAUUUUAGCACAAGGUAUUGGAUUCUAACUUCUCCAUGGCUUAUACCCCCCGAUAAAAUUCAUAGCAUUAUCAAAACAAGCAAACUAUGCAAGAAAAAAAACAGAAUUUGACUGAAAUAGAAAAGUUUGUAGUAAUAUGUAAUGAACCUAUACUUAUGUAACUCCAAAAAUUCUGAAAAAAUAGUAAGACCCGAGGAAUUUGUAUAUCAAUAUUGUGUAAUAAAUUAGCUUAAAAAGAUGUUUUAGUAAAAUAAGAGAAAUUCUUCAGUGGACGUCAAAGUUUCUAUUUUUGCACCGUAUCAAUUAUACUCAUAAUACAAAUCAUUCCCAAGGAUUUACUUGGCACAAACACUAACUACAACAUAAAAACACAAUCAUUAGAGAGGAAAUAAUCAUGUUAACACAAACAAACACAAAGUAAAAAACAAAAAUAAAGAUAACUAUUGGGUUGCCUCCCAACAAGCGAUAGUGUUUUACGCCCCUAGCUAGGCAUAUUGCAGAUUUUCAAGUGUUUUCAUCUUUGACACUUCACCCAUAAGUGGAUCUAAUGAUUAAGGUGGUCUAAUUAUCUUUCUAGGGGAGCGUUCCAUUCCUUUAUUUAAUGGAAAUUGGAACCUUAUGUUUCCUGCACAAUGAAAUCUACAUGCACAUUAUUUUUAUUUGCAAUUAUCAGCACAUCAUUUAUUCUACCCAAGGAUUUCUUAAUGGUAGAAUCUCCAAGAUGCAAGUUUAGGGAACAUUCUUCAAUAUUAGUGAGACCAAGCACAUCACAUAAAGAUUUGGGUAUAGUUGAAACACUGGCAGCAAGGUCACAAAAAGCAUUCAUUCAUACUUAUUUAUCUUAAUUUUGAUAGUAGGUUGCCACUCAUCAUGCAACUCUCUAGGAAUAGAAACUUCAAGCUCAAGUUUCUCAUCAUAAGCUUUUACCAUAGCUUCUACUAUAUGUUGAGAAAAGCUUUGUUUCGUUCAUAAGCAUUGGGUGAGGUAAUAAUGGAUUGCAGCAAGGAAAUACAUUCUACUAAAGAUAAAUUAUCACAAUUAAAGUCCUUGUAAUGCAAAAUAGUGGGCACAUCACUAGUUAAAAUUUUGACCUCUCCAAACCCACUUCUUUCAGUUUUAGCGUUAAAAUCAUCACCCUCCAAGCAAAAGGGAUGCUUCUUAACUAGAGUUGACUCAUCUCCAGUCCCUUUAUCAUUAAUAUUCAGAGAAGUAAGCAAAGAUUCAAUAGGAUAAGUACCAAUCAUUUUAAGAUCUUCAUCAUGAUUUCGGUAAAAACCGGGUGGAAGAGAUUUUUCUAGGAAUUCCCGCUUAGAUUUCAACUUAGCGGUCCUAUCCUUACUUUCAUUAAUGGAAACUUGGAUAGAUUUAAUAGUCUCAUUAAAAUCAUGCAUAGAAGGCAAGGCUUUUUUAAGAAUUUCUACAUCAAGAGCAAUUCUAUCCAUGUUUUUAGCCAAAGUAUCAACAAUAAACAAUUUUUCUUCUACCAUGGUAUUGAAAACCUUUUGAGAAUUAAUGAAUUCCUUAAUUGUGUUCUCAAGAUUAGAGGGUAUCCUAUUAUAAUUUGCAGAAGAAUUACCAUAAGAAUUGGCAUAACAAUUAGGAACAUUACGGGGAUAUGGCCUAGCAUUGAAAUUACCCCUAUAAGCAUUGUUGUUGAAAUUAUUUUGCGAGACAAAGUUCACACCAAUAGCAUCAUUAUUUUUCUCAAUCAAGGUAGACAAGGGCAUAUCAUUGGGAUCAACAUGAGUAUUUUUAUUAGCAACCAAUUUCAUAAGAGCAUCCACUUAUUCACUCAAAGCAGCGUUUUCCUCAACAGAAUUUACCUUCUUACCGGUUGGAGCUCUCUCGGUGUGCCAUUGAGAAUAAUUGGCCAUGAUGUUGUCCAGAAGUUUUGUGGCUUCUCCCAAGGUCACAUCCAUAAAGGUACCACCUGCAGCUGAAUCUAGAAUAUUUCUAGACACAAAGUUUAGUCAAUCAUAGAAAUUUUGGAUAAUCAUUUUAUAAGUUUAAACCAUGAGUGGGGCAAUUCCUUAUCAUCAAUUUCAUUCUCUCCCAUGCUUGUGCAACAUGUUCUUGAUCAUGUUGUUUACAAUUCAUUAUUUAAUUACUAGGGGAGAUGAUCUUAGCAGGAGGAAAAUACUUGGCAAUAGAAACAUCUUUACAUUUAUCCCAUGUUCCAAUACUAUUACGUGGUAAAAAUGAAAACCAAGCUUUAGCUUUAUUUCCUAGUGAAAAGGAAACAAUUUUAAUUUCACAAUAUCAUUACCCAUAUCCUUUUUUCUAUUGCAUGUUACAAAGUUCAACAUAGGUAUUGAGAUGUGAAGCGGGAUCCUCAUUAGGAUUUCUCAAAAAUUGCUCUUUCAUGACAAGAUUCAACAGUGCAACAUUAAUAUCGAAAGCCUACACACUAGCGGCGGGUGCUAUAGGAGUACUAAUAAAAUAAUUGUUAUUAAUAUUUGAGAAGUCACACAACUUAGUAGUAUCUUGUUACAUUGUGACCGAGCAAGCAAAAUAACAAGCAAGACAAGCAAAGGUAAACAUGUUUGUAUUUUUAUUUUUAUGAGAUAAACUAAAUAUACCAGCAAAUAAAAAGGAGAACAAGUGAAUGCAAAUUUGUGUGGAGUUACUUGAUAGUUGGUGACGUUAUUCCCCGGCAACAGCGCCACAAAUCCUUCCCGAUACUUGUGAUCUGCGGUUUUCUGAGAAGAAGAACGGUUUAUCGCAGCACAAUGUGGGUAAGUAUUUCCCUCAGUUAUGAAACCAAGGUUUAUCUAACCAGUAGGAAUAUCAAUGACAACCGUCUUCAGUGGAUGCACACAAAAUAACAAAAAACUUGCACCCAACGCGGGCAAGAGGGUUGUCAAUCCUCUUGUACUUGUUAUUUGCAAGCGAGUGAGGUGUGUAGAUAAUUUUAGAUAGUAAAAAAUAAAGACAGAUAAAUGGCAGCAAGGUAUUGAAGGUUUUGUAAAUAUGUUGUCAAUAGACCCGGUGGCCAUAGUUUUCCCUAAAGGCAUAUCUCAGGAAAAGUAGCAUACGAUGGGUAAACAAAUUACUAUUGGGCAAUUGACAGAAAAACGGAUAGUUAUGUGAUAUUCAUGGCAAUGAUCAUUUCUAUAUAGGCAUCACGUACAUAAGCAAAUAUGCUGACUCCUACCUGCACCUAUUACUGUUAAUCCACUCAUCAAACGCUAUCUAGCAUGUGAUACGUCCAUUUUGCAUCAUGCUUUCAUGUUGAUAUUUAUUGCUUUUUGGGCUGUUAUAUUACUUGUGGUACCAUAUUUAUGCCUUUUCUCUCUUAUUUUGCAAGGAUUAUUUGAAGAGGGAGAAUUCACGCAGCUGGAAUUCUGGACUGGAAAAGGAGAAAAUCCUAGUCCACUAUUCUGCACAUCUCCAAAUGCCCUGAAAAUUUACGUGGAUUUUUUCUAGAAUAUAUUAAAAAUACUGGGCGAAAGAACUACCAGAGGGGGGCACCAGGGCCCCACAAGCUAGCCCACCGCCACCACCCCCGUGGUGGCGCAGGGCAGCCUUGUGGGCAGCCCACUGGCCCACUAGCCCCCCUCUUUUUCUAUAUGAUGCAUCCUGACCUGGAAAAAUCAGAUGGGAGAUUUUUCGUGGUUUCGCCGGCGCCACGGGGCGGAACUUGAGCAGAUCCAAUCUAGAGCUCCGGCAGGACGAUCCUGUAGGGGAAAUUUCCCUCCUGGAAGGGGAAAUCGUCGCCAUCGUCAUCACCAACACUCCUCUCGUCGGAGGGGAGGCAUCUUCAUCAACAUCUUCAUCAACACCAUCUCCUCUCCAAUCCCUAGUUCAUCUCUUGUAACCAAUCUUCGUCUCGCAACUCCGAUUGGUACUUGUAAGGUUGCUAGUAGUGUUGAUUACUCUUUGUAGUUGAUGCAAGUUGGAUUAUUUGGUGGAAGAGUUUAUGUUCAGAUCCUUGAUGCUAUUCAUUACACCUCUGGUCAUGAUUAUGAUUAUGUCUUGUGAGUAGUUACUUUUGUUCCUGAGGACAUGGGAUAAGUCAUGCUGAUAAUAGUCAUGUGAAUUUGAUAUUCGUUCGAUAUUUUGAUAUUGUGUAUGUUGUUUUUCCCCUAGUGGUGUUAUGUGAACGUCGACUACAUAACACUUCACCAUAUUUGGGCCUAGAGUAAGGCAUUGGGAAGUAGUAAGUAGAUGAUGGGUUGCUGGAGUGGCAGAAGCUUAAACCCCAGUUUAUGCGCUGCUUCGUGAGGGGCUGAUUUGGCUCCACUAGUUUAAUGUUAUGGUUAGACUUUGUCUUAAUUCUUAUUUUGUAGUUGCGGAUGCUUGCGAGAGAGGUUAAUCAUAAGUGGGAUUAUUGUCCAAGUAAGGGCAGUACCCAAGCGCCGGUCCACCCACAUAUCGAACUAUCAAAGUAACGAACGCGAAUCAUAUGAACAUGAUGAAACUAGCAUGACAGAAAAUCCCGGUGUGUCCACGGGAGCGUUUUUCCUCCUGUAAGACUUUGUUCAGGCUUGUCCCUUGCUACAAAAGGGAUUGGGCCACUUCCUGCACCGUUGCUACUACCUGUUAAUUGUUACUUUUUGCUCGCUACGUUUCACCUCGCUACACAAUCACUUGUUACCGCUACUUUCAGUGCUUGCAGUUAUUACCUUGCUGAAAUCCGUUUAUCAGAGACUUCUGCUCCUCGUUGGGUUCGACACUCUUACUUAUCGAAAGGACUACGAUUGAUCCCCUAUACUUGUGGGUCAUCGGCAUGCAUCUGGAGUAUUAAGUAAAACAGAGUAAUGCAUGGAGAACAAUGACAUGAUGUAGACAAUGUAAACUCAAGCAAUGUAAAUAAACCCCAUCGUUUUAUCCCUAAUAGCAGUAACACAAAGACACAUCUUGUCCCCUUCUGUUACUGGGAUAUAAAAAUUCCCCAGGUUGAAACUACUACAAUGCACCUCUCUCAUCGAAGAAAUAUCGAUCUAGUUGGCCAAACUAUUUCAAUAGAUCGGAGAUAAUUACGAAGCUAUCAUAAUCACACACAUAAGAAUCAUAUAAGUAUUUAGAGAAUACUCAAAUAUUUAUCACGAAUAAUCUGAAUAAAAACCCACAAUUCAUCCGAUUCCAACAAACACACCGCACAAAAGGAAUUGCAUCGUGUGGAUCAAAGUGAAGAUGCAAUGAUCAUUGUAUUGCAGAUCAAGAGACAAAUAGAUUGCCAUCUAUAUACUAGCUAUGGACCCAUAGGUAUGUGGUGAACUAAUCACGCAUCAUGAUGAGGGUAGCAAGGUUGAUGAAGAGGGCAUCCGUGAUCGACCCCCCUCCGACAGGGUGCCGGAACAGAGCUCCACAUGAGCUCUCGUCGAAAUAAAGAAUUUCAGCGGCGUAAAAAAUGUUUCAGGACUGCUUUUGGGUUUUUUAGGUUAUCUGAGAAUUUAUAAGCUGGAGAACACAGUCGGGAGGGCCUCGAGGGGCCCAUAAGCCAAUAGGGCACAACCCCCCCAAAGGUCGUGUCGGGUUGGCUUGUGGGGCCCACGUGUGGCGCCAACCUUCUUCCGAUGCUUGGUGGUCUUCUUUUGGUCCAGCAAAAAUCUCCAAAAAGUUUCAAGUCAAUUGGACUUCAUUUGGUAUGGUAAACCUGAAAAGUGAAAACAUGCAGAAAAUUGUAACUUGCAGUAGGCACUAGGUAAAUAAAAUACCCCAAAAGUAUUCUAGAAUGAUAAUUUAUCAGCACGUAAAAAUCAAAAAUGAUAGAUACAUUGGAAAUGUAUCAAGGGACGUGGGCUGCGCGUAGGUAUGAUCUCGGCUCGGUUCAAUCCUGCAACCCGUGGCGCGUCAUGACGAGGCGUGGCGCGGUGAGGCGGACGACAAAGGAGGAGGAGCGUAUGAGGGGCUCUUCUCUUCUCAAGCUCCAAUAGCAUGUAGAAGAGAGACCCUUAUAAGGAGGUCCAGCUCCUUCUCCACUAGCAAGGUGGGACUAAACUUCCCACCACCUGUUGUCAUGCCACCUACAUGGGCCCUGUAACGACCAAGAUGCGGUCCUUUCCGAUCUGGGGGUCGAGGCCCCUGAAUAGGAAAGAAGCGCAUCUAAGCGUUUCGCAAGCAAGUAACAUAGCACAAAUACUAAAUAAAGUAGACAAUUCGGGAUUCAACUGUCUUCUUAUUAAUAACUCAGAGUACAACACAGAUACAAUCAAGGUAGUUUCGCUACGGACUACAAAACAUGGAAAAAUGCUAUGCUACCCUGCUGCAGGCCCACGAUCACGACCACGCCUCAGUCCUCUGGAUAGUUCACGUAGAGGCGGUCUGUCUCCUCGUCGUACUGCCACGCCAGCUGGGUGCCGUCGGGAUCAUCUGUCUCUAGGGUACCUGUACCUGCUGGGAGUUUCGGAGGAAUCCGUGAGCCACGGGGACUCAGCAAUCUAAGACCUUGGUGCCAGAACUAGUCAUGUUGNUUCCUGUACGCAAGAUAUACCGCUAAGGUAAGACAAGGCUAGCAGGACCUCCCGUCGUGUCGACGACCCUGAUAAGAGCCGCGUAUCUCAGUCUCAGGACACGACAGAUGAGCUAGACGUCGGGAUGGCUAAACCUCUGGGUGACCAGUGGGGCCCCGGACAUCGCUGAGGUGGGACCAACACUCAUGAGGAGCACUGGUCCGGGUUGUUGAUUAAAUUCCUCGGGGUAGCUAUUCCCUAUGUAGAUUAUUAUGUGAUUAGCAGAUUAAAACCAAAGUUGGGUCCUGUCGGACAAGCCUUAGCACUACGCGAUUUAUCAAGGGGGUCCCCAUAACAACCCCGAACGUGUUAGGAGCGAUCAUUAUGGAAUCAAACAACGGUAACCGGUAACUAAGGUGGCAAUGACGGAACCAAGCACCCGGCAAAAGGCUAGGCCUCCCGUCAUUUACCAAGUAUAUAGGUGCAUUAAUUAAAUAACAGAAUUUAAGGCAAUGAUAUCAAGCUCAUGUUAUCACAUGAGGCAAAGCACCUGCAACUAGCAAUGCUAACAUUAGUAGCUGAGCAAGCCUACUUAGCCAUGCAAGUUUUGCUAGGAAGGAGAACGGUGUUUUAGGGGCUCAUGGCAUAAGAAGAGGCAAUUAAUUUCAGUGUAGGCAGCGAGCAAUACGACAUGGAAACGAAACUAACAUAACAAGUCUAGAGAUGGAGUCAAGGUCAUAUCAUCUUGCCUGUGAUAUCCUCAGCUUGGAAUGGUUCUGGAUCGUCCUGCACGUACUCUCCUGACUCCACGUAUUCGUUCUCCGAUCCCGGUGCUACCCAACAUGAGAAUAACAGCCAAUGAACAGCAGCACCACAAGAUGCAACAAUCACAUGAUGCAUGAGAUGAAAAUUGAGCAUGCACCACUAUUUCUAACACUAGCACAAGCAAAAUAAACUACUGCAAGUUUCUGGACAGAACUGUACACUAAGCUAUUUUGACAUGCAUGAGAAUGACAUGAACAGAUGCGGCUCGUGAAAACGGUGCAAAACCAUAUAAAGAACAUUGCAAACGGAGCUACUGAUCAACGGGAAUCAACGAAACAAGAUAUGAAGCUCUACGUGGAAGAAUCAACACCACACUCACAAUUGGCACAAUUCUGGUAUUCCAGGUUGCCAAGACAUAAAACAAGCCAUCAUUGAUGGAAUGGAGCAAGGAAGAAGGCCACAACGUCAUCUAAGCACACACAUUGGUCAAAAUGACUACACUACAUAAUCUGCCACAAUCUGCAUAUUAGCUCUUUGGGAGCUACAUGCAACAAAGCUACAGGCCUCCAACCAUGACAAAUAAUAUAUGUGGCUGUUUCCCACCAAGGACACUACAAGCACCAGCAAGAAUCACAGCAAAAGGAAUUAAAAUCUAGAAGAUACAAGGCCACAAACUUUCCCAAAACCAUCAGAUCUCAGGGACUUAGUGAAAAUUCCUGCACGUGAGUUUUUGUCUCUGUUCUGAAGCUUUUUUACAGCAAUCAAAACACAAUCUACUGGACUCCAAAUGAUUUGAAAAUUGACAGGAAGCUUCACAAAUAUACCAGGUUCAAAAUCCUAGCACUGAACUAAGGCUAGUUCUCAACAGAAUGACCAGCACAUCCUCAUCUAUAAGAGAAGAAAAUGUUUCCAGAAUCCUAGACUUAGUGAAAUUUCAGAUUUCACUAAACUGGAAUAUUUCAGCCACAUGCCCACUUUGUCUAGGCAUAGUUUGCACACACAUUACACUCACUCACCUACGCAUACACACACACAUACAUGCACAAAAACUACUAACACACAAAGCUUAAACUCAAGGGCUUGUGCAAUUGCACAAGCAUGUGUGUAGAGUCACACACACACUUGCACACACACUCACCCUCAAGCAUUCACACAAACACACACACACACACACACACACAUUCAUACAUCCAUGCAUACACACAUAUGAACACAUACACCACAAUCACAUAUCUUCCUUACACCAUAUAACUUCUGGACAGGAAAAAAGGAAAACAAGAUGCACUACUUUAUGCCUAUUAUUUAGGCACAAGAUGGAACAGCAAAUAGCAAAGCAAAAUUAAAAGAAAGAGAGGGAAAAAAAUCAAAAGGGCAGGCCUGGGAUUUGAACCCAGGACCUCCUAGUAGCUGGCCUGUGGUGCAUCCACUCUGCUGUUGUCAUGAUUUUGACAGAGAGAUGGGCACAUAGCUAGUUGACCCUCUGCUGCUGCUACUACUAAGGACCGGGGAAAUAAAACCCAAAAAGGGGCAGUGCACCAUAGGGGACUCGAACCCAGCACCUGCCGAGAACAACCACGAUACACUUGCCACUGCGCUAUGCUACGAUGUCUGACAGAGGGGGAGGCCUGAAACAAGUGAACUACUACGACGCCCAGCUCGGCUCUGCACAGCGAGCCGACGACAGAGAGGUCGUCGUGCUCUCAGCUGCUGUUGUUGCUGCACGAGGAGACGGAAACAUCCUUGCUAUACUGCACGCCGGCUACCCACAUACCGCGGGCGCACAGCAACUACUGCAACACCAGCAACUAUACUCGAUAACGCACACCGCCACAUAUGAUGCUGCAGCUCGGGACAGUGACGGCUACCACCAAGAUCGCCGGAUCUCUAUGAGGUGGAAGGGAGGAAGGUGGACGGCUCACCUUGGAGAAGGAAGAGGAACCGCACGGUGGAGGAGGCCGGCUGGAGAGGAGGGAGACGCGCGGGAGAAGGCCCUGCUGCAGGUUGAUGUCGAACGGAGGUAGGCGAAUCAGAUCACCGGAGCCGACGCUUUGACGUGCUCCUGGCCGGCGUUGUAGAUGUCCCUCGACCUCACCGAGGACGAAAAUGGGGCGCAUGCACCGUCCUCGUGCCCCUGGACAUGGCCGCCGGCGCUGCUCGAUGGAGUAGGCGGGGUAGACGGCGGCGAGGGAUUCUCUCUCUCUCUCUCUCUGCUCCUACUCUACAGAGAACUUACCAAGGAGAGGGAGGAGAAAAGGAGGGAGGUGGCGGCGGCGCUGGAGGAAGGAGAGGGAACCCUAGGGAAGGAGGAAGGUUCCCUCCACCUUAUGUUACCUCGGGGGAGGCGCUUGAGCCACAGGAUCAAGCCAUGGAGAAUCGGUGGAGGAGGUGGAGUCGUACACAGUGACGUCAACGGGAGGUUGGAGAGGAACGGGCGCUGGGCUGCUGUUGUGCGAAGGGGUAUUGGGCCUGGGAGGAGAUGGGCUGCUGCUGCGAAGGUUUGAGAUUAAGAGGGAAAACCUGGCCCUCUCUAAUAUACAAACAACAUGAGAGCCACUAAUAUUUCUAGGAAAAACUAAGGCAUAAAUAAAAGAGAUAAAAUAUCCCUGGGCAUAAGGGAAUUAUGCCCCAAAUGAAUAAAAUACCGAAAAGGCUAAUUGGGCAACUAAAAUAAUUGCCAAACAGAUUUAACUAAAUCUGAAAUAAAGAAAAACCUCAAGCACAAGAGGUUUUAAAAACCCCUCUCCUACAUGCCCACACUCCAAAUAAAAUGGGCUAAAGGUGUAACAUUUAUAAAGCAGCAUAGGAGCAAAUAGGUUUUGAACUUGAGAAUUAAAGAGAGAAAGGUUUGAAACCAACAAGGGGUUUGAAAAACAAUGCCAAACACCACACCCUCAUUACUUCCCACCACAUCAACACAUAUGCCUCAACACAUGAAUUCACAAAAAUCACACCUAGCAAGAUCACAAGCAAUCACAACAAGAACUCAUGGCAUGAAACAUUAUGGUAUGGCAAAGAUGGUAUGGCAUGGAUGCAUGCAUGCAAAAGAAGAACACAAGGUGACACAUGAAAUCACACAUGCAUAGAUAGCUCUCAUGACAAUGUCAAGGUGGUCCCACAUGGAAGGUUACAAAAAGGGAAAGCUUUACACUUGGGGCACUACAAAUUCUCCCACACUACAAAGAAGAUCUCGCCCUCGAGAUCUAAGACUGAAAGAAAUCGGGGAAUUCGGAACGGAGGUGAUCCUCGCGUUCCCACGUAGCCUCUUUAUCGGAAUGGUGAGACCACUGCACUUUGAGAAACUUGACAGUCUUGUUACGGGUCUUGCGCUCAGUCGCCUCGAGAACCGCAACUGGAUGCUCACGAUAAGAAAGGUCUCGCUGAAGGUCGAUAUCUUGAAGGUGCACCGUGCGCUCGGGGUUCUUGAAACACCUCCGAAGCUGAGAAACAUGGAACACAUCAUGGACAUUUGCAAAGGUUGACGGAAGCUCGAGCUGGUACGCAAGGUCGCCCCUCUUGCCAACCACUCUGAACGGACCAACGAAACGAGGCGCAAGCUUGCCUUUGAUGCCAAAAUGCUGCAUACCCUUCACAGGCGACACCUUGAGAUAGACAAAAUCAUCAAGCUCAUACGACAUGUCAUGGUGCUUGCUAUCGUAAUAGCUCUUCUGACGGGACUGAGCUGCUCUGAGGUUGUCGCGAAUGAUCUGACACAUCUCCUCAGCUUCUUCUAUCAUAUCAUUGUCAAGGAUUUGACGCUCGCCUGUCCGGGACCAGUUGAGCGGAGUACGGCACUUCCUGCCAUAGAGAAUUUCAAACGGAGCCUUGCGAGAGCUAGCUUGAUAACUAUUGUUAUACGAGAACUCCACGAAAGGCAGAGAAUCGUCCCACUUCAUGCCAAAAGAGAUAACACAGGCUCUCAACAUAUCCUCAAGAACUUGAUUCACUCUCUCCACUUGACCACUAGUCUGAGGAUGGAACGCUGUGCUGAAGCGGAUCUUCGUGCCCAUCGCAGACUGAAAGGAGUCCCAGAACUUGGAAGUGAAGAUACUUCCGUGAUCUGACGAGAUCAUCAUAGGUACGCCGUGCAAAGAGACAAUCCUGGAGGUGUACAACUCUGCCAGCUGAGCUGCUAAAAUGGACUCCUUGACUGGAAGGAAAUAAGCUACUUUACUCAAUCUGUCGAUGACGACGAAGAUAGCAUCAUUGCCCUUCUUGGACUUUGGAAACCCGGUGACGAAGUCCAUCUCAAUGUGAUCAAACUUACACUCGGGAAUCGGCAAAGGCUGCAAGUGGCCCGCUGGUCUUUGAUGUUCUGCUUUCACCCUUCGACAUGCAUCACACUCGUUUACGAAUUGUGCAAUUUCACGUUUCAUGCGAGUCCACCAGAAAGUCUGCUUCAAGUCAUGGUACAUUUUGGAACUUCCAGGAUGAAUAGAGAGCAGAGAGUUAUGAGCUUCUUCCAUGAUCACCUUCCUGAGAUCACCUUUCGGGACGACAAGGCGAUCCUCGAAAAACAAUGUGUCCCUGGCAUCAACAGUGAAACACUUAUACUUAGGGAGACUCUUUCCCACGCCAAUUUUGACCUUUUUCACCAUAGCGUCAAGUAGAUGAGCUGCUCUGACCUGAUCUUCCAAGGUAGGAGAGAUCUGUAGGUUCGCAAGAAAACCCUCAGGAACCAGCUGAAGAUUGAGCUUCCCGAAAAACUCAGAAAGACCCGGCUGGAGAGGUUGCAGAAUCAGACUGUUGCAAUAUGCCUUCCUGCUGAAUGCAUCUGCCACAACAUUUGCCUUGCCUGGCGUGUACUCAACACUCGGAUUAAAAUCCUGGAGCAUUUCCACCCAACGUGUUUGCCGAAGAUUCAAGUUAGGUUGAGUGAAGAUAUACUUGAGACUCUUGUGAUCGGUGAAAACUUCAACCUUACGUUCCAACAAGAGAUGUCUCUAAGUCAUCAAGGCGUGCACAACAGCUGCUAGCUCGAGAUCAUGCACAUGAUAGUUCUUCUCCGCAGGCUUCAGCUGCCUGGAGGUAUAAGCAACCACCUUCCUAUCUUGCAUCAAGACUGCACCGAGAGUCCGAGACCCUGGAGAGAAGCAUCGCAAAACACCUAGUACGGCUUGGAAUCAUCCGGAGGGGCCAAUACCAGAGUGGAGAUAAGCUUCUCUUUGAGUGUAUCGAAAGCCAGUUGACACUCUGGAGACCAAACAUACUUGACACCCUUCUGAAGAAGACUAGAGAGCGGCUUGGCGAUUUUGGAGAAGUUCUCAACGAAUCUUCUGCAAUAUCCGGCAAGACCGAGAAAGCUUCAAAGCUGCUUCACAUUCUGCGGAGGUUCCCAUUCAACAAUGGCUUGAACCUUGGACGGAUCAACCUUAAUGCCCUCGGCAGAGAUAAUAUGCCCAAGAUAAACCACUUCUUUCAGCCAGAACUCGCACUUGGAAAACUUGGCAUACAGCUUGUAUUCUCUCAGUUUAUCAAGCACCAACCUGAGAUGUCUCUCAUGUUCUUCCUCAUCCUCAGAAAAGACCAGAAUGUCGUCGAGAUAGAGCAAGACAAAUUCAUUCUUGUAUGGUGAGAAAAUAUAGUUCAUCAAUCGACAAAAAGUCGGUGGAGCAUUAGCUAGACCAAAAGACAUGACCGUAUACUCAUACGAGCCAAAACUAGUCCUGAAUGCCAUCUUCGGAGUGUCUUCCUCGCGAAUGCGAAUCUGAUGAUAGCCCAUUCUGAGAUCAAGCUUGGAGAAUACUUUAGCACCUUUCAACUGUUCGAACAACUCAGUUAUGUUCGGAAGUGGAUAUUUGUUCUUGAUUGUCUUCUUGUUCAAUGGGCGGUAAUCGACACACAGCCGGUCCGAACCAUCCUUCUUCUUGACAAAUAGAACACCACAUCCCCACGGAGACGAGCUUGGUCUGAUCAAACCCAAACGCUCCUGCUCAUCGAGUUGCCUCUUGAGUUCCUUCAACUCUUCUGGACCCAGCUUGUACGGCCGUUUGCACACUGGCUCUGUGCCUGGCUCAAGCUUAAUGAUGAACUCAACUUCACGAUGCGGAGGCAUGCCUGGUAGCUCUUCAGGAAACACAUCUUGAUAUUUGCAGACUACUGGAACUUGCUCGAUAUGAUUGAUCUCACCCUUUUCGUUCAAGGAGAACAAACGGAUUGUGUCAUCGCGCGCCGCGAAUAUAAUCACAUCCUCCGAAGAGUGGGUAAGCUUGACUUCUUUAGCUUCACAAUCAAUUGACGCCUUGUUCAUGGCCAACCAGUCCAUACCAAGAAUCAAGUCGAUAUCGGACUUGCCCAAGACAUACGGAGAGGCCAGAAAAGAAUAAUUGCCCAUCUUGAUAGAAACAUCGGGAGCAUGGGUACUAGCAUGCAUGAACUUGCCUGGUGAAACUACUGACAACGGACUAGGAAGCUCUUCAACAGGAACAUUAUGCUUGGAUGCAAAUGGAAUGGAGAGGAAGGAAUGCGAAGCACCAGAAUCAAAUAACACUUUAGCAGGACAAUCAUUGACAAGGAGGUUACCCAUGAUCACAUCAGAGGAGUUGUCUGCUUCGGCUGCAUUCACCAUGUUGACUCGAGCUGAUCUGGGGUUGAAUUUGACAAAAGCGUUGCUUGGAGGUUUGCCUCGAGGAGGAGGCGGCAGACGGAGCUGAGAAGUACAUUUGUUGGCAUAGUGACCCUUCUGCCCACAUUUGUGACAAGUGACAUCUGCUGGCUGCCGGAACUGAAUCUGAGGAGGCCCUUGCUUCUGAUGCUGGUAUCUCUGCUGGAAGCCAGGGUUGGGUGGGUGGGAAGAACCACGUCCACCUGAGUGCUUCAGCUGCUGUGAGUGCCGAGGAGGAGGAGGAGAAACCCAAAACCUCUGUUGCUUCUGAACCACCUGAGUCGAGGAAGAGCUGGAAUCUCUGAAGCGCUUCUUGGAGUUUUCCACCCUGAGCAAGGUUGCCUCUGCUCGGAGAGCUAAGUUGUAGAACUUGUCAAACUCCUCAGGAUCGUGCAAAGCAAGUGCUAACUACAAAUCCUCCUUCAAGCCACCCCUGAACUGGCAGAUCUUGCUCUUCUGAUCCGGGACAUCCUGCAACGCGUAACGGGCCAGCUCGUGGAACUCGACAUUGUACUUGUACACAGAAUUGCUGCCCUGCUUCAAGCGCCUGAACUUCUCACGCAUCUCCUCAACAAAACUGGAAGGGAUGUAGUGGGACCUGAAGUCACGACAAAACUCGUCCCAAGACAUCACCCUGCCACCUCUGGAGUCCUUAAGCUGCUGCCACCAAAUAGAAGCCUGUCCCUUCAACUGAAACGUUGCAAACUUGACAUAGUCCUCCGGACGCACAUUGCUACACUCGAAAUGCUUGUUCAUAUCACGGAUCCAAUCUUCCGCAUCAAACGGCUGGUCGCAAGAAGUGAACGUCUUAGGCUGGUUUGCCACCCUGCUGAAAAUUGCCCUGUUGAUGAUUGGCUCUCUCCUGGAUCAACUGCAACAGCAUCUGAGUGUUUGCAUUAGUAGCUGCCAUCAUCGCCUGCCAGGCCUCUGCAGGAGGAGGCGGCGGCGGCGGAGGAGGAGGAGGUGGAGGCGGCAUAUCCUCACGCGCUGGGGUCUGACGAGUCGGUGGAGCCAUCCUGAAGACGGACAACAUAUUAGUCCACAGAAUAAUUGAAGAUAUUGCUGAAUCAAAAGACAGGAAUAUCUGAACAGAAUUUAGCAUUGCACUCGAGCAACAUAGCAAGAGUGCAUCCUCAAAGUAACAGACGACAAAAUUCCGAUAAGGACCACUGCAAACAAGUGUGAGCUAGAACUGCUCGGAACAAACAUAUGAUCGAGAUUUCCCAAACCUCAAUCAAGCGUUUGUAGGAAGAUAGUCCUAUAAGAUACUACUAGAUAUCCCACCUAUGAAUUCCCGAAAUAACUGGUCAUGCAAUCAGGUACACGGAUACAAGGAGUAUUUCACACAACUCCUAAACUAACCCGUCACCUGUAUCACAUCCUUCAACACACAACCAGCAUCUCAGACCUUCAUCUACAACAGAUCCUCGUGAUCACAACGAUACCAAGUGUGGUAAUACCCCCAAACAAUCUACACCAGUACUGGGGACAUCGGGGUUAUCUCACCACUACCCGUAUUGAAGCAAUAAUGAACACCCUCCGUUCUUAGAUACUCAGAAAUCUGAAUGAUGGCGAUGUGCGCGAUAAUCCCUGGAGCUCAACUCCCCUGAUACUUAGAGCAGAUAGGAGGCACCAGGACAUGAUUCCGUCACAUCGAAAUCAUAUAGAUUUCACAAAUACCCGCGUUAUCCUAAAAAAAUUUGAGCGAGAAAAGGAGUAGAGUUAAAGAUUUCCUAGGACGGGAACCUCACCAGAGCAUAGAAGAGGAGAAAAAAGAAUCCUACUCUCCGAUAUAACUACGACUCAAAACAUUUUCUAGACUCGACUCGGCCAAAUACGAUCACACAAAGGCUCCUAUGGUCGUAAGGCUCUGAUUACCAACUUGUAACGACCAAGAUGCGGUCCUUUCCGAUCUGGGGGUCGAGGCCCCCGAAUAGGAAAGAAGCGCAUCUAAGCGUUUCGCAAGCAAGUAACAUAGCACAAAUACUAAAUAAAGUAGACAAUUCGGGAUUCAACUGUCUUCUUAUUAAUAACUCAGAGUACAACACAGAUACAAUCAAGGUAGUUUCGCUACGGACUACAAAACAUGGAAAAUGCUAUGCUACCCUGCUGCAGGCCCACGAUCACGACCACGCCUCAGUCCUCUGGAUAGUUCACGUAGAGGCGGUCUGUCUCCUCGUCGUACUGCCACGCCAGCUGGGUGCCGUCGGGAUCAUCUGUCUCUAGGGUACCUGUACCUGCUGGGAGUUUCGGAGGAAUCCGUGAGCCACGGGGACUCAGCAAUCUAAGACCUUGGUGCCAGAACUAGUCAUGUUACUAGGUAGGGUAGGGGUGAAGUGUAUCAGGCUGCAGCAUCCUAUGCUUGAUUAAGUGGCUAACUUACGCAAAGUAGAAGUGAAGCUGGUCUACGCUAACGGUCGGGAUUACUUGAUCACUAAGUGAUCCUGAACACCUACCUACGGCAUUCAUAACCCCACCGUGUUCCCGAUCGAAGAGAGAUCUUCGAAGGGACAGUCACGGUUACGCACACAGGUGGCAGUUUUAUUAGCUUAUGUUUAAGUUCUCUAAUACCGGAUGCUAACAAAAUAUUCCAAGUUGCCACAUAACCGCGGGCACGGCUUUCCGAAAGAUUAAACCCUGCAGGGGUGCCCCAACUAGUCCAUCACAAACGAACACAGGCCGCAAAGGCAUCCUCUAUCACGAAUCUCGUGAUCUCGUCGGAUUCCUUAGAGGAAAAGCUCAACUCUGGGGAAAACCAAAGCUUCACUGGGAUUCCUGUACGCAAGAUAUACCGCUAAGGUAAGACAAGGCUAGCAGGACCUCCCGUCGUGUCGACGACCCUGAUAAGAGCCGCGUAUCUCAGUCUCAGGACACGACAGAUGAGCUAGACGUCGGGAUGGCUAAACCUCUGGGUGACCAGUGGGGCCCCGGACAUCGCUGAGGUGGGACCAACACUCAUGAGGAGCACUGGUCCGGGUUGUUGAUUAAAUUCCUCGGGGUAGCUAUUCCCUAUGUAGAUUAUUAUGUGAUUAGCAGAUUAAAACCAAAGUUGGGUCCUGUCGGACAAGCCUUAGCACUACGCGAUUUAUCAAGGGGGUCCCCAUAACAACCCCGAACGUGUUAGGAGCGAUCAUUAUGGAAUCAAACAACGGUAACCGGUAACUAAGGUGGCAAUGACGGAACCAAGAACCCGGCAAAAGGCUAGGCCUCCCGUCAUUUACCAAGUAUAUAGGUGCAUUAAUUAAAUAACAGAAUUUAAGGCAAUGAUAUCAAGCUCAUGUUAUCACAUGAGGCAAAGCACCUGCAACUAGCAAUGCUAACAUUAGUAGCUGAGCAAGCCUACUUAGCCAUGCAAGUUUUGCUAGGAAGGAGAACGGUGUUUGGGCUCAUGGCAUAAGAAGAGGCAAUUUAAUUUCAGUGGUAGGCAGCGAGCAAUACGACAUGGAAACGAAACUAACAUAACAAGUCUAGAGAUGGAGUCAAGGUCAUAUCAUCUUGCCUGUGAUAUCCUCAGCUUGGAAUGGUUCUGGAUCGUCCUGCACGUACUCUCCUGACUCCACGUAUUCGUUCUCCGAUCCCGGUGCUACCCAACAUGAGAAUAACAGCCAAUGAACAGCAGCACCACAAGAUGCAACAAUCACAUGAUGCAUGAGAUGAAAAUUGAGCAUGCACCACUAUUUCUAACACUAGCACAAGCAAAAUAAACUACUGCAAGUUUCUGGACAGAACUGUACACUAAGCUAUUUUGACAUGCAUGAGAAUGACAUGAACAGAUGCGGCUCGUGAAAACGGUGCAAAACCAUAUAAAGAACAUUGCAAACGGAGCUACUGAUCAACGGGAAUCAACGAAACAAGAUAUGAAGCUCUACGUGGAAGAAUCAACACCACACUCACAAUUGGCACAAAUCUGGUAUUCCCAGGUUGCCAAGACAUAAAACAAGCCAUCAUUGAUGGAAUGGAGCAAGGAAGAAGGCCACAACGUCAUCUAAGCACACACAUUGGUCAAAAUGACUACACUACAUAAUCUGCCACAAUCUGCAUAUUAGCUCUUUGGGAGCUACAUGCAACAAAGCUACAGGCCUCCAACCAUGACAAAUAAUAUAUGUGGCUGUUGCCCACCAAGGACACUACAAGCACCAGCAAGAAUCACAGCAAAAGGAAUUAAAAUCUAGAAGAUACAAGGCCACAAACUUUCCCAAAACCAUCAGAUCUCAGGGACUUAGUGAAAAUUCCUGCACGUGAGUUUUUGUCUCUGUUCUGAAGCUUUUUUACAGCAAUCAAAACACAACCUACUGGACUUCAAAUGAUUUGAAAAUUGACAGGAAGCUUCACAAACAUACCAGGUUCACAAUCCUAGCACUGAACUAAAGCUAGUUCUCAACAGAAUGACCAGCACAUCCUCAUCUAUAAGAGAAGAAAAUGUUUCCAGAAUCCCAAACUUAGUGAAAUUUCAGAUUUCACUAAACUGGAAUAUUUCAGCCACAUGCCCACUUUGUCUAGGCAUAGUUUGCACACACAUUACACCAAGUGAUAAAAUGACACCACUAUGGUGUAGAGCAAAACCCCUACUACUAUCACACAAAAACUCAUGCCCUUGGGCUCCACCUAUUCCAUGGAAUCAAGGAACAAACUUGCAACAAAUCUGAAUAUGUCAACUCCAUAAAGUAUCCUAAUGGCAAAACAAACUUCACCACUGCAUUCCUUGGGAGAUUCUACCCCAAAACAUAUAUAAUUUGUGAGCACUUACUUGGAGCAAGUGAACACAAACUAGAAAAGAAAAUCUACAUAGAAUCACCUAUAGAGAUUACUGCAUCAUCACAUGUGCAAAAUCACUAGAACAACUCCCACAUACUCCAUUGCACACUAUUACAAGGCCAACGGUGGCAUAAGUUCAACACCAAGCUCAUGGACAAACCCACUCACAACACAAUUGAGCAAGAACAAGCACACACACUCACUCACCUACGCAUACACACUCACAUGGGUGUGUAUGCAUAAGUGUGUGGGGAGACACACACACAUGCACAAAAACUACUAACACACAAAGCUUAAACUCAAGGGCUUGUGCAAUUGCACAAGCAUGUGUGUAGAGUCACACACACACUCACCUUCUAGCAUUCACACACACACACACACAUUCAUACAUCCAUGCAUACACACAUAUGAACACAUACACCACAAUCACAUAUCUUCCUUACACCAUAUAACUUCUGGACAGGAAAAAAAGGAAAACAAGAUGCACUACUUUAUGCCUAUUAUUUAGGCACAAAAUGGAACAGCAAAUAGCAAAGGAAAAUUAAAAGAAAGAAAGGGAAAAAAAUCAAAAGGGCAGGCCUGGGAUUCGAACCCAGGACCUCCUGAUAGCUGGCCUGUGGUGCAUCCACUCUGCUGCUGUCAUGAUUUUGACAGAGAGAGGGGCACAUAGCUAGUUGACCCUCUGCUGUUGCUACUACUAACGACCAGGGGAAUAAAACCCAAAAAGGGGCAGUGCACCAUAGGGGACUCGAACCCAGCACCUGCCGAGAACAACCACGAUACACUUGCCACUACGCUAUGCUACGACGUCUGACAGAGGGGGAGGCCUGAAACAAGUGAACUACUACGACGCCCAGCUCGGCUCUGCACAGCGAGCCGACGACAGAGAGGUGGCGGUGGCGCUGGAGGAAGGAGAGGGAACCCUAGGGAGGAGGAAGGUUCCCUCCACCUUAUAUUACCUCGGGGGAGGCGCUUGAGCCAGAGGAUCAAGCCAUGGAGAAUCGGUGGAGGAGGUGGAGUCGUACAUAGUGACGUCGACGGGAGGUAGGAGAGGAACGGCGCUGUGCUGUUGUUGUGCGAAGGGGUAUUGGGCCUGGGAGGAGAUGGGCUGUUGCUGCGAAGGUUUGAGAGUAAGAGGGAAAACCUGGCCCUCUCUAAUAUACAAACAACAUGAGAGCCACUAAUAUUUCUAGGAAAAACUAAGGCAUAAAUAAAAGAGAUAAAAUAUCCCUGGACAUAAGGGAAUUAUGCCCCAAAUGAAUAAAAUACCAAAAAGGCUAAUUGGGCAACUAAAAUAAUUGCCAAACAGAUUUAAUUAAAUCUGAAAUAAAUAAAAACCUCAAGCACAAGAGGUUUUAAAAACCCCUCUCCUACAUGCCCACACUCCAAAUAAAAUGGGCUAAAGGUGUAACAUUUAUAAAACAGCAUAGGAGCAAAUAGGUUUUGAACUUGAGAAUUAAAGAGAGAAAGGUUUGAAACCAACAAGGGGUUUGAAAAACAAUGUCAAACACCACACCCUCAUUACUUCCCACCACAUGAACACAUAUGCCUCAACACAUGAAUUCACAAAAAUCACACCUAGCAAGAUCACAAGCAAUCACAACAAGAACUCAUGGCGUGAAACAUUAUGGUAUGGCAAAGAUGGUAUGGCAUGGAUGCAUGCAUGCAAAAGAAGAACACAAGGUGACACAUGAAAUCACACAUGCAUAGAUAGCUCUCAUGACAAUGUCAAGGUGGUCCCACAUGGAAGGUUACAAAAGGGAAAGCUUUACACUUGGGGCACUACAGGCCCUUAGAGAAUUUUUUUUCUGAAAUUGCCAUAUGAGCCCUAGGCCCAUCUCAGACUUCAACAAUCCCCCAUCACAUCUCAAGGGACCAUUUUGUCCUUUGUUCCAAUUACCGUUUUGAUAUACCAGCAUUUUAGUGAAGACUUGUUAAGCUUGAGUUUCACCUAGAACACGUAGCUACACUCCUUCACAAUUGAACAAUGGACUGUGCCUUGAAUUGUUAGUUUUGCGGAAAGAAGUUUCACCAUAUAUCUUACUAGUACUAGGUUGUUGAAGGCUGACCCCUCGGGUGGAGCAUAUUAGUCACACUCCUUGCCUAUUCAUGAGUUUACUAAAGAUGACCCCAAUCUCAUAGACUAUGACCAAUUGUCAGGCUCAUAUAGGUGUGUUACUUCAAAGAUCGCUAUGUAGGACAACAUCUUGCUUACAUAUAAGCUUUAAAACAUAUUAAGACAGUAGUCAUCCUACCAUACAAUAUCCGAGAGUAUUGCAUCUCCAACGGAGUGGGUUGUAAAGUUACUCUCCUCAGUUCACCACUGGCCUGUUUUCCUAGGUCCUACUUCAUGGGAUCUCCAGUCACAUAGGUUGGGUUACUGCCAUGGCAACUCAUGUGGGUCUCAUACCCAUCUCCCUCGAUGUAGUAUCGAUCACAACACGUGAUAGCCCUUUAGUAAAGGGAUCUGUCAGAUUCUUAGCAUGUUGGAUGUAAUCCAACACUAUCACUCCGAAGUUUCUUAAAUGUGUGACAACCUUCAAUCUCAUUCUUAUAUGUUUGUUGGAUUUCAUGUUUUCCUUUUAACUCUUCACUCUGAAAAUAACUGCCUCGUUAUCACAAUUCAUAAGGAUAGUUAGAACCGGCUUCUGAACCACUUGCAAGUCCAUCAAAAGAUCUCGAAGACAUUCUGCUUCGACACGAGAUGUGUCUAAUGCCAUUAAUUAUGCUUCCAUUGUAGGUCUCGUUAAGAUCGUUUGAUUGCAAGACUUCCAGGAAACAAUACCACCUCAAAGGGUAAACAUAUACCCAGUAGUGGCCUUCAACACAUCAGCAUCAGAGAUCCAAUUCGCAUCACUAUACCCUUCAAGUACCGACGGGUAUCUAGUAUAGUGAAGUCCAUGGUUCAUAAUACCUUUCACAUAGCGCAUAAUUCUUUCAACAACAUGCCAAUGAACAUCACUCGGAUUGGCAAAAAACCGGCUUAGUUUGCUCACAGCAAACAUGAUAUCAAGCCCGUUGUGCUCGCUAGAUAUAUAAGUGAACCAAUGAUUUGAGAGUAUCUCAAUUGGUCUCUAGUUGUGCCUCUAAACUUUUGAAUCAGCACACUAGGAUCAUAUGGCGUUUGAGUAAUUUUAAAGUCCGAAUAUCCAAAACGACUCGAAAUAUUCUCAACAUAAUGGGAUUUUUAAAGUGUAAUCCCACCCUCAUCAUCUCUCAAUAGCUUGAUGUUCAAGAUAACAUCACCCACCCCAAGGUUCUUCAUCUCAAAGUUCUAAGACAGAAAAGGCUUAACCUCCUCAAUCACUUUGAGGUUGAUUCCAAAUAUGAGUAUGUCAUCAACAUACAAGCAUAGUAUAACUCCUUCGCCCCCACCACGGCGAUAGUAUACACAUUUGUCAGCUUCAUUUACAUCUAAGCUAACAAAUGUCAGAGUUGCAUUGAACUUCUCAUGCAUUGCUUAGGUGCUUGUCUCGGACCAUAUAAAUACUUCAACAACUUACACACCUUUCCUUCGUGAUCAUCUAUCACAAAGCCAUCUAGCUGUUGCAUACAGAUUUCCUCGUCUAGCUCUAUAUUCAGGAAAGCCUUCUUGACAUCCAUUUGAUGGACGAGAAGACCAUGCGAGGCUGCGAAUGAGAGUAGUACUCGAAUGGUGGUUAGUCUGGCUACAGGUGAAUAAGUGCUGAAUAAAUCUUCUUCUUCUUUCUGGGCAAACCCUUGGCCUUAAGCCUAGCCUUGUACUUUUCAGUUGUAUCAUCGGGCCUAAGCUUCUUUUUGAACACCCACUUACAUCCCAAUGGUUUGCAACCAUAGGGACAUUCAGUAAUUUCGCAAGUUCCAUUAGCCAUGAUGGAAUACAUCUCUUUACGGACCACAUCUUUCCAGUAGUCAGCAUUUGGAGAUGCGUACGCUUCUGAAAUAUAAUUGAGAUUAUCAUCCACGAGGUACACAACGAAAUCAUCACCAAAGGUUUUUGCGGUCCUUUGUCUCUUGCCCCUACAAAGGGUUUCCUUGUCAUACUCCUCGGGAUGUUCAUCAUGUGUUUGUUCAUAAUAUUCCAUAAGAAUGGCAGGCUCAGGAGUCUCCUCAGAUUCCUGUCUAGAAGUAAUUUCCAUAUCUAUCAUGGGGAAAACAUCCUCGAAGAAUGUAGCAUCCUUAGACUCCAUAAUUGUACCGACAUUCACGUCAGGUACCUCAGUUUUCACUACUAGAUAUAUAUGGCCAACGCUAUUCUUAGCAUAACCAAAAUUAAUGCAGUCCACUCACUUUGGUCCAAGCUUACGCUUUUUGGAGAUCGUCUCAUUGAAUUUCGCCAAGCUACGCCAAUUACGUAAGUACGAGAGUGUUGUCCUUCUCUUCGACCACUGCUCAUAGGGAGUGACCUCAUUAUCUCAUGACAUGAAGUCAAUAUAGCCUCCCCCACCAUGCGUUGGAUAAACCCGAUGUAUCUAACAUGGCGUUAACCAAAUCAGUUAGAGUACGAUUUUUCUGCUCAGCAACCCUAUUUGACUGGGGUGAAUAGGGAGGCAUCCUCUCAUGAAUAAUGUCGUGUUCUGCAUAGAAAUAAUCAAACUGAUUAAAGAAUUACUCUCCACCACGAUCUGAUUAGACUCGUUUAAUUUUCUUUUCAAGUUGGUUCUCAACUUCUGCCUUGUAGAUUUUAAAGUAGUGUAGAGCAUCAUCUCAAGUAUUUAACGGAUACACAUAGCAAUAUAUAGUAGACUCAUCUACCAAUGUCAUGAAAUAUUUCUUCCACCUUUAGUCAACACACCAUUCAUCUCACAGAGAUCAGAAUGUAUGAGUUCUAGUGGAGCCAAGUGUCUCUCCCCCACAGCCUUGUGAGGCUUGCAAAGUUGCUUUGCUUGAACACACGAAUGCCACUUUGAACCUUUGGCUAAAGUGAAACUCGGAAUUAAAUUCAGUUUUGCUAGCUGAGACAUAACACCGAAACUAAUGUGACAAAGACGUGAAUGCCAAACUUCAGAUUCAUUAACACUCGAAUGAAUAUUGUUCACGACUUUAUUACAAAAAUCUGCACGGGGAAGGCGGAAUAGACCUCCGCAUUCAUAACCUUUUCCAACAAAAAGUCUGUAUUUCAUAAGAACUACUUUAUUAGUCUGGAAGACGAACUUAAACCCUUCUCUACACAGAAGGGAGCCACUAAUGAGGUUCUUUCUUGAUGACAGGGACAUGUUGCAUGUUCUUCAGCUGCACGAUCCUUCAUGAAGUAAACUUCAGAUCGACCCUGCCAACACCAAGAAUAGAAGCACUCGCGCCAUUCCUCAUCAAUACGGACCCAUGACGUGUGACCUGGUAAGAAGAGAACACUGAGAUGUCAGCACACGCAUGAAUAUUCGCACCUGUGUCCACCCAUCAAUCGGUGGACUGACAAACUGAAAAUACAGUAAAUAAAUUAUCAUACCCAGAUGCACCAAUUUCAUUGUUUCCCACAAUCAUAUUGGCAGACUUGGAGUCUGACCCUGACUUCUUGUACUUGUUUGGGCACUUCGUGGCCUAAUGUUCCUCAGAACCACAAUUGAAGCAACCAUAUCCUUUCUUGUUCUUCUUGAAGGUCUUCUUACCCUUUUUCUUAAAGUUGAUAUUUUUUUGGACAAAAUUAUUUCCCUUGGGCUUGUGAGAGUUGAAGUUCCUCUGAUGUACCAUAUUGGUGACAGGAGUACUUUCAGCCCCUUUUCCAUGCGAGUGUUUUGCUCUCGAGUUUUGCUCAACACUCAGAUGGAUGAUGUCAUCCUUUAUUGAGAAUUCACGCCUCUGAUGUUUCAUAGUGGUAGCAAAGUUCCUCUAGAAAUUAGGGAGCUUAGCGAUUAUACACCCCGUGACAAAUUUUCCCGAUAAAUUGCACUUAAGAACCCCAAACUCUUUAGCAAUGCAUAUUAUCUCAUGAGACUGUUCCAACACAGAAUGGUUAUCAACCAUUCUUUAAUCAUGGAACUGCUCCAUAACAUACAUCUCGCUCCCAGCAUCGAUGGCUUCGAAUUUAGAUUCGAGCGCCUCCCAAAAAUCCUUGGCAACCCGCACAUAUAAAUAUGUGUCAACCAACUUAUCUCCGAUCACGCUAAGAACUGCUUCGAAAAAGUAGACAACGGCGUCCCUGAACGCCUUCUCCUGUUCGGGAGUGAUCGUUCCUGUGGGAGUAACACCGGCUACCCAUAACACAUUCAUAGCUGUGAUAUAUAAGGUGGUCUUGGUCUGUCAACGAUAAAAUAUGUAUUGGUAAACUUGUCCGAUUUCAGUGCAACAGCAAAACCAUUACUCGAAAAAUUUCUACACAUAUUAGGUUUUUGGAUUAUUGCGUAAGUAGGUAAUUUUUCAAUUAAAUUAAUCCAUAAAAUAAUCACUAUCAUGACAUUGGCUAGAUUACUGACAUACUGAUUACGAAGGACACUAGCAUGUACUACACAUAUAGUAGAAACAUCUACUCAUAUAGCUAGUAUUGCUAAGACUGAAAUAGACAGGAGCGGGGUAAACGAGUUAUACCCUCCAAUCGGCUAGUUGGUCGUAGCAGCACCAAUGGCGGCGGUAGCAUUCUCGGUCGCCUUCUUGUCGGCUUCGACCUUAUCGAGGGCGAGACGAUCGGCGUCGGUUGGUGGAGACAUGGCGAUGGCGAAGGCGACACAGACGUAGAUGAAGCACAUGAAUGGAGGCGAGCAGUCGCCUAGUCGCUCCCCAGAAACCUAAUCGCCCCUCUCCCGUACAGGAUCCAGAGAGGCGGGGUUUCGGUGGCAUGCUCUCCCACCGACUGUGUGCGUGGUGAACAAGAUGGAGUCGCCAGCGACAGCAACAACAAAAGGAACGACAUGUGCGCGUGGAGCAGAUGUGAUCUAAUCUCGUGGCGGCUAGGGUUGGCCGAAGUCUCGCUUAUGUAGGCACGUCUAGGUGCACAGACGUGGGUUGCGCGUAGGUAUGAGCUCGGCUCGGCUAAAUUCCACAACCUGCGGCGUUUCGUGACGAGGAGUGGCAUGGCAAGGCGGACGGCGAUGGAGGAGUGUGCGGGGGCCUCUUUUCUUCUCAAACUCCGAUAGCAUGUAGAAGAGAGACCCUUAUAAGGAGGUCCAACUCCCUCUCCACUAGCAAGGUGGGACUAAAGUUCCCAUCAUCCCUUGUCAUGCCACCUAUAUGGACAACUCCAAUAGGUGAUGUAAACUAGAGAUGCAAAACCGGCCGUCCACCGCGUGACCGUUGAAGUAGUUGCGCAUCAACAUCUUAUGCACAUCCACCCGUUCUCUUCGAAUGAACGCACGACCAUAGGCGGAACCACCGUGAUUUCACUUCUUCCCAGUGCGCAUUUCCACUAGCAUUGCAAUGCCCUCUUCUUCGUUUAAAUCAAAUUCCUCAUCCGACGAGGAAUCGUCCAUGAAAGAGGAGUCACGCGAGCUCAUCUACAAUGCGGAUAAUCACCGUUAAACUACUUUCCAUCCCCAACAAAAAAAAACCUCAAGCUUCAUCGAAUUUUUACCUUCGGGAAUUCCGUCGAACACCUUACUUACAAGGUGUACAAAAUUGGCCGACUACAGGUUGGGCAGCCGUUGGCGGUAGCGGUUGCGGGAGGCAAUGACUACACAACAAAAGAGACGGCUCGUCCGGAGCUCCGCGCGGCAAGCGGGCGGCUUCACACGGUCGGAAGAACGUUCGAGGCUCGCGACCGUUGGGCGGGCGGAGUGCCGCUCCUCCACUAACUCAGGCGAGGGUUCUAGGCUUGGAUGAAGCUUACCCCAUCAUAGACCUUGCCGGGGAAGGCGUUUAGACCAGCCAUAGCCGCGGAAGAAGCUUCGAUUUGUCAGCGGCCGAAACUGAAUCGGCGGCUCCCGACAGCACGCCAGCGACGGGGGAGGGGGGCGAUGUCGUGGCAGGCCCGGUGGCCAUCAGAGCGACAUCGUUGAUUUGAAGUGCAUUUGGCCGUUGACGGAGUCGGGCAAAGGCGGUCGGUCGCAUGGAGGGGAAGGAAAGUGGUGGUUGAAUAGUUAGCAGGCGAAGGCAAAUUUACAUCUCGUGGAGUUGGAGAUGCAAAUUUGCACAGCAAAGUGCUAUAGGAUAUAUCUCCGAAAAGUGAAGAUGUAAUUUUUUAUUUUGCAUCUACAUCAUCUGUUGGAGCAACGUUUUUGGGCCUCGAAUAUGCAAAAGAUAGCCUAUUUUUGCAUCUACAUGUUCUAUUGGAGAUGCUCUUAAACACCAAUGAUAUAUACUACUCUCACAUAUGAAGUUCAAUUGGACACGCCACAUUUCUUCCUGUCCCCACGUUUCGGCUAAUCUUAUCUUACAUCAUCUAGAACAUAACUUACUUGAUGUAGUAUAUACAGUAUACACUGUUCUAAGUCCCUUGCAUGACGAAGCCAGGAACGACAUCGAGGAGGGUGCUUGAUGGAAAUGAUCGAUGCGCACAAACAUCAUAAGAUGAAAUUGGAUGGUGCAGAAAGCCCGUGCAGUGCUUUUAGAUGCGUGCAACCGUAAGGUGUCUCACAGAUCCACAGUUUAUGUAGGCCACUAGCUUGAAUGUUCCCCUUGCAUCAAUGCCAUUGUGGUGUCGAGGCCCUGCAUUGU